rnacentral:lncRNA from 1 species
AUUGUUCUCCUUUUGAAAAAGUAAUUGUUAGGCACUAGCUAUACUUACACUGUAUCAAUACCUGUAGAGGAAACAAUGCGGGCAAAGCAAAUGCUAGCAACCAUGUCUCAUGAGAUAAGAUCUCCUCUUACGGGGGUCGUUGGUAUGGCUGAGAUUCUGGGGACAACUAAAUUGGAUAGAGAACAACGUCAAUUGCUGGAUGUGAUGCUAUCCUCUGGAGAUCUGGUUCUCCAACUUAUAAAUGAUAUACUUGACCUGUCAAAGGUUGAAUCAGGUAUUGCUUCAGUUUUUUCUUGGACAGAUCUUGAGCUGGAAACUGAAGGACAAUGAUUGAUUCAUAGCACUUUGUAAUUUUUGUCAGCAUUGCCUUUUCAUAUUAAAUUAAUCAUGAUGACUUAAGUAGCCAUUGGGGGUUUAUGAAGGAGUUUGGAUUGAUGAAGAAAGAUUUAGAAAUGGAGUAGGAAAAGAAGUGCCCCGCUCAUGACAGUAAGGAAAUAGGUGACUGUUGAUUUCAUUCUGAGACAGUUGCUUAUUCAACAUGACCGGAUAUGGUCAACUUAGUAGCCCUAGUUCAAGAAUGUGCUGUCGUCAAUGUGCUUCAUGCUGAUUAUAUAUGUUAAAAAAAUUUCGAGUACCUUGAAAGUAAUCCACACAAGUAAAAAGAAUGCAAUUGACUACAGAAAUUUAUAUUGACGUUUGGACUUGACAGACUUCAGCAUACAUUAAACUGUUGCAGAAAAUCACGGCGUGUAUAACUAUGUCAUAAAGAUAAAAAACAGAAAUCAUAACAACUAUCUGAAGAUCAGCAGUUUUCUUGAACUUCACCAACUUUUUUCUCAUUUUCCAACUUUAGAACAGUUUUCUGUCAGAUUUUGGUUUAUGCAUAUCUAUUCACUGAUUAUAAAUGAGAAUUGCAUUCACUGUGAUGACCUUUGAUGAAGUCAUUUCAUUAUUUAAGGAAUCUCAGUAAUUGUUGAAUAUCAGUUCAGCAUAGAGAAAUCUUAACUUUGCUCCUUCCAUUUAUUUUAGGAGCAAUGAAGUUGGAGGAUACAAAAUUUAGACCAAGAGAGGUAGUUAGACAUGUCCUCCAGACUGCUGCUGCAUCUUUGAAGAAGGAAUUGAUGUUGGAAGGACAUGUAGCUGACGAUGUUCCAGUUGAGGUAGGAGUUUAAUUAGCAAACACUUUCUACAUUCAUGGAAUGUUUCUAUUUCAGUUCUUCCCUACAGUUCAAGGAGAAAGACUUUCUCAGUAUUACAGCAUCCACCUGCUCUGCAGAAACCUCCUGCUCAGUGAAAUUGCAAAAGAAUGGCAGUUAUAUUUAUUUUCAUGGAGUCAGAAAAUUAUGUAAAUAUUUCUAAUAAGAAAAUAAAUUGGAUAGCCUAUGCAGGAGCUCGAAGUCAAGAGACUGUAGAACUUCUGAACAUUUCUAGGAAACUUGGUUCCUAACGCAGUCACUGGUCAGUGUUAUUUUGCUUAAAAAGUGAUACGAGUUUGUACUCGGGAAGGUCAUCUAAUCUUAAAAGACUAAGCAUGUAUAUGGCUAGAUACUUGUAUGUCAUUUUGCAUAAUUUUAUGCAUCAUACUAAACUCAUAGUUAUUUCAUUUUUUUACUGAUAACCUUUGAUGUUUUCUUACACGUCUAAUUAAUCAAACAUAACCAGUGUCUGGAAACAGAAGAUGCUCCGUAUAUAAAAUAACUGUAUGUCACAUGUCAAUUUUCUUUUAUAACAAUAAUUUGGCUAAUCUGGUUUUUCCUUCAGCAAUUCUUAUAAUUAUGGCAAAUUGACAUUCUUUCAGGUUAUUGGUGAUGUUUUAAGAAUUCGGCAAAUCUUGACCAACUUGAUUAGGUAAGAAUUGGAAUUAGACUUGUAUUCCUGGUUUUGUAAAUGAUUGAACUGAAACUGGUUUAGUGCUUCCUAGUUCAAUAAACUAUUUAAAAUUGAAUGGUCAUGCUUGUUAUGAAAACUGUUUCUGCAAAUUGAGUAGCAUGUGCAGAAAUUUUAAUUCUAUUAUUGAGUGUUAAUAAGUUUGAACUCUUGUAUAAGUUAUUAGGUGAUUUCUCUGACUACUGGAUGCAUUAUUCGCAUCUAUUCCAAAGCCUUAUCCUCAUGUCUAUAAAAGUGAGGAAUUGUUCUUAGGACUUCACAAAAAACUCCCUAGCUCCAUAAGCAAAAUUUGAACACCUGCUGUUGAUUAACACUUUCUACUAAAGUUUGCUGUAUCAAAUCAAGAUAAUGAAAUCUUGGCUUUUAGUUACAUCUUUGCGGAGCCCCAUAGUAUGAGAUCCAAACUUCCUUUGCUUAUCCCAUCAUUGGUUCAAGUCAUCUGCCCCUCCUAUUCUCCAAAUGCACAUCAAAUUAGAUAGUGCAGCUUAGAAGUUAAAGAUGGUACCAUGUUUUCAAAUUCUGGUGGGAUGUCCCACAGGAGGCUGGGAUGGGGUAACGUCCCGUGUCCGGCCGUCGUCCCAGCAUACCGAUCAGCAUGGCCUGGGGCAUCUCUCAUCCCAAGUGUCCAAAUGAGGUGGGAUGGCAGCACCUGUUCCACAAAAAAACUGGGACAGCCCCAUCUCAUGAGGCUUAAAACCUUGGAAAGUACCUUAGUUAUCAUGAUGGAGGAAAGGAAAUUAAGACCCUCAAACAUGGAGGAACACAAGGAAACAUAAAUAUGGCAUCCAAGUAAGAAACCAAGGUUGGUUUGGGAGAUAACUAUUUCACCAUAAAAAUACUUACAGGGGAACAUUAGAGAUAUAUAUAUGAACCAUGCAGUGUCAAAUUACAUACAUGCAUGAAUACAUUCGUUUCUUUGGUAUCAAGUGACUGCAAUUUCCAACAGAUAGUAGUUAAUAUUCAUAUUAAAUAACUUUAGUACCCAUAGACAUGUAUGAGGCACUAAAUAAAUAUCAAGGAGUAGCAACAAGAAGUUUAGUCCUUCUCUUUCUUAUGUAACAUAUAAGGAAUUAUUCCUUGAAUAGGUUUUCAAAGAUAAGUGUGAUCAAUAUCUUUUACCUAAAUCAGUUCUCUUGUAAGGAAAAAAGACUUUUCACCAUUACUCCAGCUGAAUAUGCAAAUAUUUGGUAAAUCUGAUGGGGGACUGUGUUUGUUUUGACCCUGGGUGGGGGAAGAUUUACAGUGUGCCGUGCGAGAAUCUUGCAAUUUGUCUGUUAGUGAUGGAAACAUUGCGCAUCUUUUCUGUGUGCUUAUUAAAUAGAUAGAACAAGCCCUUUUGUUUAUGUUUCUCGUGUUUGAUAAUAACCUAUACUGAAUAUCUUGAACUAAUCUGCAAAUUAAUUUUGCAGCAAUGCAAUCAAAUUUACACAUGAAGGGAAGGUUGGGAUAAACCUUCAUGCGGUGUCCAAGCAAUGUCCAGGAUGUCAAGAACGACACAAUCAAGGUCUAACAGCUGCUUUACAAUCAACAAGACUAGCAAAAGAGAAUUCUUCAGAAACUCAAAGCUAUAUUGAUCGAGAAAGUUCACAUUGUUCAACUUGUCAAAACAAUCUUGACCAAAACAGUACCGAGAAGCAUCAUUUGACUAAUGAAGAUACUGAGAAGCAUAAUCAACAGUAUGAAAAAAUAGUGUGGCUACGCUGUGAAGUAUACGACACUGGUAUUGGAAUACCAGGUUCUUCUCAACUCUCACUUCAGACUCUGUAAACCCUUCCAUUUUCAUUGAUGUUUGUAUAGAAUAUAUUCAUGACAAAAAUGUUUGUAUAGAAUUUAGUUCUUUUCCUUUAUCUGAAAAUAUGCACUUUUAAAAUUCUUUUUCUCUGUUGUUGGAUUAUUUACGUGUACAUGAUUGUUUCCAUCAACAGAAAAGGCAUUACCUUCAUUGUUCAAAAAGUAUAUGCAAGCUAGUGCGGAUCAUGCUCGGAAGUAUGGUGGAACAGGGCUUGGCCUUGCAAUCUGCAAACAAUUGGUGAGGCACGUUAGCUUGUUUCAGAAUCAUUCUUUUCCAUUCAAAUUCCUUGGCUUGUUCAAAUUUUGAAUUUGAUGUCUGAGAGCAGUCUUUCAACCUCUUAAGUAGCCAUUCUCUCAUGUCGCAUCCUAGAGGUUGCAGGUUUUCCCAUAGUUUGUAUGGACAACAGUAGACAACAGUGUGACUGUACCAAGCACCUCUUUUUGAAUAGCGUAGUAAGGAUUCUGACUUUUGGCAUGCCUGCAGCCCCUGGAGGCAAUAAAAGUUUGAACUAAGCUUGUAGUAGUUGGCCUAGUGCAAUCAUAUAUAUGAUUGCAAUUAUUUAUGUUGGUGAAAAAUGUUGGACGACAAUUUUGUGUUUUCUCUAGCACCAGAUGGUCUAAAACAUUUUAAAUCUUAUUUUGAGCUGUCUUUAACGUUUUUUUGUUAGUUCCAAGUUCCAACAUUAUAAAGCUUUUUGUUCUCUUAAUAUAUUGAUCAUCUAGAUUCCAACCGAGUAUCAGCUCCAAUUUUAAUUGAAAUCCUGCUUUAACAUGACUCAAUCUUUUAAUUUCCACUCCUCAAUUUUUGGAUCUCACAACUUUUAUUUCUUGGAUCAUGGAUUCUCAAGCAUCAAAUUCAAACUUUGCAGACACUUCUUGCUAAACCUUAGAAAAGGUUUAUGUUAUCAAUUCUUGGCCUACAUUUCUCUCAUGUUGGCUUGAUUUAGCAGUUUGUUAUCUCUCUUUCCUUUUCUGGAGCAUCAGGCAUUCCAAACUUAGCCUCUUUGCUUUUGCUUCUCUUCCUAGACAUCUUUAGCGAGGUAGCAUAGGCAUACAUCUUGGAUUCCUUCAUAAUCUUUGUUUUUAACACAAAUCUUUAGUUUUUUUAAGCUGAAAUAAUUUGUUAAAAUGAUCUUGAAAAAUAAAUAAAAAACAGUACCAAAUACUUUUGUCAUCUUAUAGUAUGUACAUACCCUUUUUAUUUACAGGAAUUCUGUUUCCUCAAGGUUUUAGGAAGUUCAGCUUCUUUUAUCCUCAAUUUUAGUACCAGUUCAGGCUAUUAUUCUUAUACCGAUGCUGAUUAAUAUUUUUAUGAGCACACUCGUUUAUAAAUAUGUAGAAGUGCAUUGCUAUUUGUUGUUUUUUAGAAUCAUCAAAUUGGUCUUCCUAGUGCACAACUUUAAAGGUGAAAACCAUCUUGGUCCUGUGGACUCCUGGAUAUCUACAUUAGAAUUCUGCACUGCGUACAUUUUCAAAGAUUUUGAAAUAUACAUUGAUUUCGUGUUGAUAUUAUGAAUGACAUAAUAGAAUAUUGUUUCUUUUUUCCCUUUGUCUUAUAAAAAUAAACAUGGUUCUUGCACUUACUUUGUGAAAUGCAUCUGAGAUAGGUGGAGCUGAUGGGUGGAAAUCUUACUGUGACCAGCAAAGAGCAUUGUGGAUCAACAUUUACCUUUGUGUUGCCCUGUAAAGUUCCUUCAAAGAGGGAAAAUUCUGAUGAUCAUGAUGAAAAUGAAGCCAUUUCUGAUUCUGAAAUUACAGCUGAUUCCAGUAGUGAUGAAAUUAAUGGGUCAUUUGUCUUUAAGCCUCUGACACGGGGUACUUUAUUCUCAUCUGACGGAUCCAUGGUUUGCAAGACAAAACUCUUUGGCAGUAGCAUGCUUGAUGCCUUACAUAUUUCAAAUGGUUUGUCAGAGUCUGACUCAUACUCCUCUAAUGAUUGCACAUCAAGGAAGAGGCUUUCUUCUGAUAGGGUAUCUGCAAUUUCCGAUGCAAAAAAGAUGCAGGCUGAACCUAAAGGUCCUGCACAGCAAAGCCUAGGGCAUAAUGUUAAUGAUUUUGGGAGGAUAAACAAAAGAGAUGAAGGAUGCCAGGAUUCUACAAAUGGCUUUGUAAUGCAUAAAUUUGACAGUUCUAUUAUGGAUUCCAGCAGAACUCAGAGGAAUACAGGCUUGCAGCAAGGAAAGAUGGCAUCCUCAGAGAGAGCAAAUAUGGCUGAAAGUGUCAAGAGCUUACCAACAUGUCAAAGCCCAACGCAUGAGAAAGAAGAUACGUGCAUGUCAGAUGGAAGUUCAUUCAAGAUUCUUCUUGUCGAAGAUAACAAGAUCAAUGUAAUGGUGGCACAGUCAAUGAUGAGGCAGUUGGGUCAUAGAAUAGAUGUUGUGAAUAAUGGGUUAGAAGCUAUCCGUGCACUUCAGCGUUCUCAUUAUGAUCUUAUUUUUAUGGUAAUACCCUAAUGUGAAUUUUUUCCUUUCCAAAUUUCAAGUGUGAUAAAACAUUUAGAGAUUUAUUCAGGACCUAUUUGAUUCAGAUGGCAGUUAUAUUGUAUAUUUGCUUGCAUUUUCAUUACAUCUUAACUCUAUCAUGAAUUAGUAUUUUCACAAAUUGAUCUCAACCUAGGUGACAAUUAAUCUCAGAAUAUUUGUAGUGAUAAAUAAUAUUCAAAUCAAUCCUCCAACAUACUUUCUUUAAGAUGAUUGUCGCAGAGAUCAUUGUUACUAGGUAUCAUGAGUAUUGCAGUGCAUGGUGCCUUUUCUUUCAAACAAUUUGCUUAUAGCUCCAAGUAAAUUAAUUUAUAUGUUAUUAGUUUUUAUCCCAUUGAAAAUUUGUUUACAAGUUCUGAAUAAAUUUGAAAUAACCACUUGCAAUCAUUCAAGUCUCAUAUAUGUCUAUCAUGAAAUCUUGUUUCCUGUAAGUAGCGGCAAUCAGUUUUGAAAAGACACUAAAAAAUAGUGGUAGCAAUAUCAUGCAUUUUUUUAUACUGUUGUCUCAAAUUCUUGCCCUUUAGAAAUUAAAAGUGCUAUGGAAACUCUUUUAUGAGCUAAUAACCCUCAUCUAAUUGUCUGUCUCAUGUAAAUGGUUAGAAGAAAUGUCUAUCUGAUAUUAGCUUAUUCAUAAUCAAAGUAUUGGAAACUUUUAGUAAAUUUAUUGAAAACCAUUCCUAGGCCUCUAAUCGCCAUCCACAUCUCAUGGACAUACAAUAAUUGUUCAUUGCAGUUGUUGAUACUGGAAGGACCUUUACAAUAAAUUCAAAACUCUUUCUUGCUUUAUAAGUGCUGAUGCCAAGAAACAAUUGUUGUCCAUCUCAUUUGAAAUGCAAUCAGAAAUUGUCCAUUUUGAUGAUUUGUUUGUUGGGCAAGUGGAUGGAAUGUUAUUGUUUGAAUGACAUAAAGUGCCAUAAAAAAGCACACAUCAGCAUGUUAUUAGCACAAAAUUGGAAAGAUAACAUGAAUUCUAAAUGUAGUAAGCUCAGGUCAUGCCGGAACUAUUUUUGCAAGGCAAAGUCUUGUUUGAACUUAUAUUAAACUACAUGAGCUAUGAUCAGUCAUUAGUAAGCAUAACAUCUGUAUGCAGAACUAGUAGGCAUAACAGCAUUUUCAAUCAACCAAUAUGAAGCAUGACAUGACAAAAAGUCUUCCUUAAUGACAGGCAGUGGAGAGAUUAUUUCUACAAUAUUUUAUUACAUGGAAUGUUGGUGAAUGUUGCUUAGCAUUGGAACAGAUUGACUGGAAGCAAAACAGCACACUAGUUACACAUUACAUAAUUGAGGCUCACUUUAUAAACCUUAUGAGCCAGUAAUACUGACUCCAUGGUACUUGGCAGGAUGUCUGCAUGCCAGUAAUGGAUGGUAUGCAAGCCACCAGAUUAAUCCGGUCUUUUGAAGAAAAUGGUUACUGGGAUGCUUCUGUAACAAAUGGAAAUGAUCACACUAUGACCAGCUCAGAUUCACUAACACAUGGUCCAGAUGCAGGACAGAGCAGAAAAAGAAUUCCUAUCAUCGCAGUAAGUUUUCUAACAGAAUAGGCCUAUCACUUUCAAUCACAAUUCUCAUAUGUUAUUAUCUUGUUACUAUCAAGAAGAUAGAUACAUUUAAGUACACUGAUUUUCAAUUAACAUCUUUUUAUAUGCCAUGUUAUGCUUCUUUCAAAUUAUUAUACAUAGCACAUUAUCCUGUGUUUAAGGUAUUCUGUGAUUGAAAGAUUGAAAAGUAGGAUUCUUUGUCUGAAUUUAGAAAUAUGGACAUAUACAUUAGCUAGUCAUAUUAUUCAGCUAUUACAAGCAAGGUAGACAACAACUAGUCAUAUUAUUCAGUUAUUACAAAUAGGUCUGCAAUUUCGAUCUUGGGCACUGUACCGGUACGUUACCAGUUUGGGACAAUACGGUCAGUAUAGUACAGUACGUACUCCAUAUCUAAAUAGCUUCCGACCUCUUUUUUUCAUUUUUUAUCAUGAUACCACCCAAGACGGGACAGUACAGGUCGGUACGAUAUGGUAUGCAUCCUGAUUUCGAGCAGUACUAGGCAAUACGGGGCAGCUCUCCUCGGUCUAGACUAGUAUGGAUAGUUCGACUCAUAUAUCAAACCGAACCUAAGUACCAUAGUGGUACAAUACGAUAUGAUCGAUAUGUACAGUACAGAUCAUAUGGUAGACCUUGACUAUAAGUAUGUCUUCUAUCAAGCCGCAUCUUCCAAUAGACAAAUCAAGACAAACAUGAACUAUAAAAGGAAAAAUAAGGAAGUGUCUUGUCUGAUAUGUAUUGUUGUGCUGCAGAUGACAGCAAAUUCACUAGCUGAGAGUGCUGCUGAUUGCCUUGCCAAUGGUAUGGAUUCAUUUGUAUCUAAGCCUGUGACCUUUCAGAAUUUGAAACAAUGUCUCAAACAGUACUUGCCGUGUUGAAUAUUGUAAAGUGGUUCUUGCAAAAUAGAAAAAGAAGAAUGUAACCAAGGAAAAUUUUGUAAUUAAUAUAUUAAUAUAUCUUCUGUCUGCUUGUAAAUUGGUGUCUCAUCAUCUCAAUUUGUCUUAUCAAAUCUUCAUGAUUCGAAAUCAAGGACUUUACAGUUCUCAUACAGAUGUCAGUUGUUCAAAGUGUUUUCCCACACUUGAACAGUGUUAGGAUAAAAUGACAAAAGACAACUGAUGAAGCUGAGGCCAAAAAAAAUAGAAAAAAAAGACUCUAUCAUCCAUAUUUAUGUUUCAAAAGAUAUUUUUAUAUAUCCUUUUGUUUAUUUUGUUAUUAACUAAUGAUGCUUGCCCAUCUAGGUGCAAUUAAAUUCUUAAAAGAUACUGCAUGGUCCUGUUUACAUAUUACAAGUUAUCUGAUAUCAAUCCAGUUCAAAGAUCUGCACUGUAUGGAUGGCCAAAUGGUUAUUGUGUCACUUUGUGUCCUAAAAUUUCUCAUGUUUCAUUUACGAAAUAAAGUUUGCAGGAGAGGCGUAUCAGAUUCUUAUCUGCAAUACUCUUUGAUCAUCUUUUGGGCCCAAGAAGAGCAGCAAAAGAGAUCCAUAAGACCUAGUCGUUCUCUUCAUUAUUCUUUUUGCUGUGUUCCAGUUGUUUCAUAUAACCACCUGAACAAUAGUAAUUAGAUUCGUAUCUGCAAACCUGCAAUACUCUUUGAUCAUCUUUUGGGCCCAAUAAGAACAGCAAAAGAGUUCAAUAAGACCUAAUCGUUCUCUUAAUUAUCCUGUUUGCUGUGUUCCAGUUGUUUCUCAUCACCACCUGAACUAUUCAUACAAUAAAAUGAUUAUAAUGUCUGAGGACCAAUUGAUAUUUUCUGAAAUUUUAACACUACGUAUUCCAAGUGAACACCUGAGAGAGUCAAAAAUAAUUCAAUUUAUUUAAUAAUAAUAACUAUUAUUAUUAUAAUAACCUACUGAAGGUAGGGUCACUGUAGUCCCCGGCGCUCCGCCCGUCGGACUUGUACACGAACGGCAGCUCCGCGACCGCCACCUCGAACAUCUCUAGCACACAGCAACUCACCCUCUCCUGCCGAUUACACCAUCGCCACCGCCCACACCGCAUCGUGCGCCUGGAAAUCGUAGGCGCUCGCCUCGGCGACGUCCGAAUCGGGAUUCGCCCGGAGGGUUUCCCCCUUCCACCGCCUCUCGAACUCCCCGGAGCCGCUCCGAUCUGGGGGCUGAUGAGCACGUGGACCUGCUCGGACUGCGGCCGAUCGACGGCUGCAACGGAAUGAGGUAAGUAUGUAGCCACUGCUCAGCUGCGGUAGUCCGCAGGUUAUGCCUUGCAUCGCGAGGGAGCGGCAAGAUAAAACACCCAGUUUCUCGAGGGUGUCACGUGAUGCAGCCAUGAAUGUAGAGCCAAUGCAAGUGCGAUGCCCCAUGCAGCUUUUUUAUUUAUUUAUUUAUUUAUUUACUGAUUUAUACCAUUCUAAUAUGGAUGCAUUCAGAAAAAUUAAAAACAACAAAUUUCGGAGCGCUCUAAGCAACUCCUCUCCAACUUAUAGAAUACCUCCAGAGUAUGAGGCUACCUAGUCCGUGGCCCGUUAGCCUCUCUGAACAUGUGAUUGGCCUGGAAAACUAUACUGCCGGUGCCACGCUAUAUCCAGCCAAUUACUAUAGCCGAAUCGCUUUUAAGCAUAAUUGCACUAGCCUGCAACACGCGUCGAGCAUGGCCCAAGCUGACCCAUGCCACCCUCAGCUCGGCCUCCGAAACUGAGGUGUCGAAAAUCCGGCAACUACCACCCUAGAGUCCGAGCUUCUGAUGAUGAAGCCAGCACCUCCCUUCCUACCACUAUCUAGCACGCAUCCAUCGAAGUUAACCUUGAGGAAACUCGAAGGUGAAGGCUUCCAAGUGAAAAACAUCAUCUGAAGCCCUAUACGAGCAAAGAAAGAGCCCCAAGUGCCCUGAACUAUCGAAAAUCCAUACGAUGGAUCUGCAUAAGUGAUCUCUGCCGCUUGUACCCAGGCACGCUCCGCAACGAACCUCGGUGAAGGGAUGCUCUCGCGAAAGGUCCAGGCAUUCUUGGCUAGCCAAAUUUGAUAAGCAAUAUAGCUCACCCCAACAGCCACCUGCCGCGUCUGGAGGGCGUCGGCGCAUCGACGAAUCGCCUGCAAGAAGGAAUGCAUGCGACUCCAUAUAUCUGGCAGGAUCUCGACGAGCCUCCAAACCCUACUAGCUCACUCACAUUGGAGCAGAGCAUGGUCUACGGUCCCAUCCACCUAGCAGUUAGGGCACUAAGUUUGAAUGCCUAUUCCCCUCACACUCAACACCAAUCUCGUCGACAACCGACUCCGAGCUACUUUCCAUUCCAUAGGAAUAAUACCAUCCUUAGGUGAAGACCAAACCUCCAUAUCCAUGCACAGUCCAGCCUUGGGCGGUGCUCACUUUGGAGGACACGUUAGAUAUUUCUCACUCUAACACUAAGCCUGCUAAACGUACUCCAAACCCUCAUGUCUGGACCGGCACACCCCGGAACCGAAAGCAACCGGACCCUCUCUUGAGAUGCUCUCCAAACAACCGACUGAUCUUGCUGGUAUCCCACUCCACCCCAUCUGGCCGGAGCAAAUCACAAACCCGAAGUCUGGCAUGAGAAAUAAAUGGGUCCAGGCCCGACAUGAUCCAACCCACAGGAUCCAACCCACACUAACUCUUGACUCGGUCCGGCCUGUCAUGAGAGAGAGAGAGAGAGAGAGAGAGAGAGAGAGAGAGAGAGAGAGAGAGAGUAGUAGUAGUAGAGAGAGAGNNNNNNNNNNNNNNNNNNNNGAGAGAGAGAGAGGUGGUUUCAAGUGAGAGAGGAGGAGAUCUAAUGAGGACCGAAAGCUAAAAAAGACAAAUAUCGUGCAUGCAAGAACUAAACGUAUCUCACAUGAACAAAAACGUACAGGGGUCUGGGUCAACCUUAGAGACGGACCGAACCAAAUGUAUCUGCUUGAAUUAGUUUGCUUCGGGUUUUAAAUAGGAUUGGAUUGGUUGUAAUUCUAAUUCUUCAACAAUUGGAUUGAGCCGGGACCGGAGCAGAUCCACAUGCAUACUGUUUAUUGGAAUGUAACUUGUGGUAUUAGAUUUAUUCCUUCGUUAUCAUUACUCAUUAGCUUUUACUUUAUGUUUUAUUUUAAAUGGAUAGAUCUGACUGAACAUUUGCCUAUGCUUAUAUUAAAUAUUUGAACAAUCUUAGUGUCAUUUAUAAUUCCCUCUCUCCUAUUUAUCUCUUUUUCUCCAUUGACUUUUUAAUAUGUAUAAGAUAGCUUUGUAGUUAUAUUGACGCAAAUGAAAUUUCUUACCUUUAUUAUUUAGUUUGUAAUUUGUAUUAGACAUAGAUUAUAACUUUAUAUUUGUCUAUUUCUUGUAUAAGUUAUUAAGUUGAUGUUGUUGGAUUUUAUUUUGUCAUACGAAACAUCUUCGAUAAUAGUACCUGUGUUACAUUUGUGAAGGCUCAAGGUAAUAUAUUGUUCCUGUACAAAAUCAAUAAUUUACUUGCCCUUUUAAAAAAAAAGAAAUAUAACCCAAGAAUCGACCUGAACCAGCCUAAUGUUGAUUGGGUUGCGUUUGGCCGGUUUCCACUAUUGAUUUGUUCAAUACUGGCUUCAAAAAUCAAGAACCGGUUACCAUCAGAUCGGUUCUUACUUCUUAGCCUGUAACCAAAGUCUGUGUUAGCAUCUAUAAGGCGGAUUUGAGUGCCAUGCACCACAUGAGAACAAAUUUCUUCAUGCUUAAAAAAAAAACAAAACAAAGAGGAUCGAUCAUAACCAGCUAUAGAGGGGAUCACAUAUUUAUAAGAAAUCUGGCCCGUAGGUUACCAGCCGCACCACUCAGAGGUUUAUUUAAACCUGAAAGAUCGCCAAAGUCACCCUCUUUUUUCCCCUGAUUUUAAUACGCCAAGACAGCCCCGGCAACGUCUGCAGUCUAAUAAGACUUUUCAAGGAAGAAUUUUGGUUGUUUGAAAUAUGUUCCCGCACAAGAAAGUAGCCUUGCUUAAAGUUUUCCAUCGGAUACUGAACACUGCCUCGGAGGCCUCGUCCUUUUUUUGCAUCAUUAGGUAUUUACUUCCUAGCAAAUUUUUCAUCUGAGCGAGCGAGAGAAAGGGAUGGUUUCGACUCACGUAUUUGAUAGCGGAUGAGAAUCCCUAAGCAUCUAAAUCUGGAGGCUCGGAAACGAAGUAUGCGAUGCUUGGUAGCAAGACAACUUUUAAAAAGAAACGAGCACCCUUAAAAAGGAAUUAAUGAGAUGGCCUAUGAUACAACCAUCCGCCAGAACAACUUUUAAAAUUCAAUAUUCUGAAUAGCCAACAAUGUCUUAUUUGCACCUAAAAAUCAGGUAAUGUACACAUCAAUUAAGAUUGUUCUACAGUUACCAGGCACCGCACCAGACAGGAUGAAACACCAAUUUGUCCAAACGCUGGCCAGGUUACCGGCUUUGACCAUGCAGUCAACCAGAUAUCCAUGAAAUAAGGAACAGGAACCUUUUGGCUAGUUUCUAGUUGAUCAGUUGUUGAUAAUACUGGAACCACCUUGGAAUCUGAGCUAAAAUCUAUCAUCUAAGGAAGGAGCCAUACCUGAGCUAGAAUUCCAUCAUCCGAGGGCAUGUAUGUUUAACUUGCACCUAAGUGCAUGAAAUUAUAAACAGCAAGCUCUGACUGCCCCCAGGUACUACCAUUUUUGUAUGGCGCUUCAUCAUCUGUAAAAGAAAUCCUGCAUAUAGAUCACACCGGCAAAUCUUUCCAAUUUUGGCUUUAUGCUUAGCCUGGAGGUAAGAACAUACUGAUCAGUUUCAUGCUAAACAGAAGCAUGGACGGAUGAACUGGUGAAUAUGAAUUGAUGAUAAUGCUCCACGCUCGAACUAUAAAUAUGCCAUGAAAUGACAUGAGUUUGAGCAUUAUCCUCCAAUGUAGUGGUAUUGAGAGGGUAAGGUGCCAUUUGAAGAUCAAGUUCUAAGGCUGAUGCAAGCAUGGCAAAUUUCCAGCAUAUGGUAUAUAAUAAAUCGAACAAUAUUGCAUCUUUCAACUGCAUAUAUAGAUCAAAUUCAAAGGGUACUAAUUAAUCCAUGUCAAUGACGUCAAUGCACAUCUAAUAACAGAUCACGAUGUCCCUUUCAAGUGCAUAUAGUUAAGGUAAGAAAACACUAGUUAACUAUGCUGAUGAUGCCAAUGCACAUUUAAUAACCGAUCAUGAUGCCCCAAGAGUCUUCAACUCAUGGAAGAUGGUAAUGACACUCAUUAUAACAGGUGCAUUCAGUCAAGGAUGCUGAUGAUGACUUAUGAUGUGAGUGCAACAGCAUAAUUUUCAUGAUGGGAUCCAUUCCUAUUUUGUUAUCUUCAUGAGGGAAGCUUAAGGAGCAAGAUACAUCCCUUCGAGUUACUGCUGGUAGGUAGUAGGAGCUCCGUUGUGCUCAGCUGCAGACCCAUUGACUGAAUCCUUCCUCCGUCCAAAAGGGUUCUUUGAAAAUGUAUGAACAGUCAAGAAAACACAACGUAAUAAUAAAUUCGACAGUCAGGGCUUAUAUAGUUCAACAGUAAAAUUGUUAAAAGCGAUGUAGAAAUGCAUUGGGCCGUAAUCAUACAAAAUGAAUCUUCACAUCUUCUUGAAGGGUAGUCAUCAACGUACUUUUACAGACAAGAAAAGACAUGAGCAUGAAUGCCAACAUCCUAGAAUCAGAAUUUUGAUUCUUAAAAUGUCAAAUGACAAGUCCUAUGAACUUGGGGAAACAAAAGUUAACCAAAAAAGGUGUCCGAUGUAAUAAAGUUACAAAUAUGACAAUUAAGGAUGAGGGACAUAAUGUGGCUGAUACACUUCUAAAUAUUCUAGCAUGUCUUACGAGAAACAUUUUAUGGGUGCAAUUGGUUGGGUUCACCCAACUUGACCAACAGAACGGGCAAAAUUUGGUGGCUUCAUAGGUAAUAAAGCUAACCAUAUAAGACCAAAUGCAAGUGGGCACUGUCUUAAAGAGCAUCUGGGACAACAGCCAAAGCACCCCCCACCUUAGGCAGAGCGGCAAUUAAGGUCCUUGCCUGUGGCUUGGGUGGUCUGUACCAAUAUAGGUGGCUCAAUCUAUGGGUAGAUGCCUAUGCAGCUGCUAUGUUUACAGGUGCCAGAGGUGGACACCUCAGAUGGGUCAAGCACCGCAUAACCUGAUACCUGCCCUGUUGGAAUUUAAAAUUUUACCCUUCCCCACCACAUGCCCCUCUACUUCUUCAAACAGAAGUUAUUGCCAAAUCGGAUAUGAAGCAAUGCCGACGCUGUUCACCUCUAUACCACUUAUACUGUUUCAAACCACUACAAGGGGGUAAUAACAGCAAAGUAAACCUUUUCUUUGAUGUCAAGCCACGUUCGGAAUUACAUUUUAUCCCAUUAUUGACCGUCAAUGGUUAUAACAGCCAUUAUUUUCCUUAAAAAAAUUAUCAAAGUUUUAAUAUUAAAAUAAUCGCUAAAAUAACGGCCAUUAUAAUGGUUUUAUAAUGGAAAUAAUGUAAACAAUAAUGGCAUUAUUUUUCCUUUAUUUUUUAUUAGAUAAAAUAUUAAUAUAUUUUGGACCAUAAAAUAAUUUUUGGAGGGAAUUUUGAGAAAGGAAUAUUUGAAUUUUGAAAAGUAUUAUUUUAGAAGAUACAACCGAAAGAAAUGGCCGUUACUAAUGUUAUAAUGGUCUGUUGUAACAGAAAAUAACAGCCGUUAUCUUUUCCCAUGUUAACGGGGUUGCCCAAACCUGUUAUAAAAUCGUUAUCACAGUUAAAACACCAUUAUAUAAAACCAUGAUGUCAAGUGGAACAAUCAGAGAACAAAAUGAAAUGCAAACUCUUUAUCUAUAGCAAUGUAAAUAUUAAUAACUGAAACUUUUAAUUUGACAUCAAAUGGAAACCAAAUAACAAAAUGAAAUGCAAAAUUUUUUCUAUAGUAAUGUGAAUAUUAAUAAUCAACUCAUAAAUCAGCAAGCCAACUCAGACUCUAAACCAAAGCAAAAUCAGAUAUAAGGUGUUAAAUGCAAGCCCUUCAAGUGAUGCGGAUCUGAUCAGGAUUGAGCAAAUCAAUGAUAUUGUAGGGUCUAAAAUUUAUACAUAGAUAAAAGCAAUGAAAUUAAAUAAGUCAAGAUGUCACACGAAAAUCAGUGAAAGGCGAAAAGUUAUGCUCCAAAAGGUCAUCAUCUCCAAUUGCAGGCCCAAUCCUCAAGCCCAAAUAGAAAAAGAAAGAGCUAGAGACAAAGAAUCGAGAGAGAACGAGAAGCAACAGCCAUUAUUCAUCCUAAUUGCACCCUUCUCUUCUCAAUUCAUAGUUUUCAACAUGAUAAGGCUACUAAAUAGUCCACCAUUUAUUAGGACCUUAGUUACCAGAAGCGCAGGUCUCUUAAAAAAAAUAUAAGAAAACACUUAAAGAAACAGGUAAGGGACAAGUUCCUAAGGAGAUUCGGAAGCAAAUCUUCCACCCUAAAUGGAACAUUCCUGCUACCAAGAUUUGAAAACAACUAGCCUUUCUCCCUAAAAAAGAGAAAGAAUCAAAAUAAGAUUUAAUGACAUUUUCAAGCCUUCCCUACUAGAACAUAUAUGUGACAUUAUAAUAACAGAAGAAUUUGUAUAUUUAAUGAAACUGAUACGGAAAGCCAUUAAAACUGAUUUUAAGCACCAUCUUAAUAGUGUAAAACCUUUCCUACCCAACACCAGAUCUAUAAUAGGAUAUAUAGAAAAUUAUAGAAAAUUAUCCUACUGAAAAUAUCCAAAGGCCCCACAAAAGAUAUAGCCAAAAUGUAGUACGAAAGAAAAAAAGAUGCAAAUAAUAUCAUAAGGCCUAAUCCCUAAUUACCUAUAGAGCCAAAUUGCUCUCUUUGAUACAUAGGAGCUCUUUAAGUGUGCAAAAAUAGGGCAUAUCUAAUAAUUUAUAUUUUACGACCAUCAAAUCGACAAAUUGGAUUAAAAGAUCACCAGGAGGUCUCAAUAUUCACUGAAAAAGGAUAUUGUAUUCGCAUGCCACCGCGACCAGAGCUAGGAAGAACAGCACCCUGCAGAUUCUGGUGAACAGUUGUAGCACCAUUCACAUCCUGCACAGAUAGUUCAAUUUUUAAAUAAAUUAAAUACAAAACCAUAAUCAUGCUCAAAGCAAUAUACUUGAUUAAAAUGUGAGAUCAAAAGAAUGCAAUUUUUAAUACUACUCACAUCAAACUCAAUGAAGCAAACAGUAUUUCUCUCCUGACGCAAGAUCUUCAUUUGUUUGUAACCAGGUUGCCUGCAUGAAAUAAAGCAGAGUAAGCAAAAAAAAAUCUAAAAAGAACGAUUUUGUGAGUAAGCAAUGCCCAAUAAGGGAAUUAAACUUAAUAUAUAUGGAAAAGAUAUCAUUCUCACUCUUAACGAUAAACAGCCAUCAUUUUUGUGUGUGUGUGUGCAAUGUCAAGGUCAAGAUUCAUACACACUAAAAAUGCCCCUAAGUUCUUCCUCAUUUACGUUCUCGCCCAGAUUGCCAAUAAAAAGUGUAUUGCAUGGAGGAUUGUCUUUUGUAUUCUGCAAAACAAAGACAAAACAGUAACAGUAGUGUAAAUGUGAUGAUUGAAGCAUUAUCUAGUGAUAAGCUUGCCAAGUGAAAAUAAAAAGAGACCAAAAUAAAAUGCAACUUUAGUAAUAACGACAUAUGGCUGUGUUUGGUUGUGAAAUCAGUUAACCUGGAUGCAUGGGUUAAUUUGCUCUCUCUUUGGUGAAAAAAGUAGCUCUGCCAACUUUUCAAAAUACCGACUUUACCCUCAGAAUUAAUUGGUUACUAGCAUUUGCCAGGUUAAAGUAGAAUAAGUGGAGUAAACGGGACCUUUUCCAUUUAGUCCUCCUUCAACCCAUAGCCAAACACAACCUAAGUUAUUAAGAGAUGCUCUAUCGAGCUCCAAAUUAAGAAUUAAUAUUAUGAGGCUUUAAUAACUAUGAAAGCAUAAGUGAUUCCUAUCAGUGAACAUGAAGAACUAAUGUACUGUUAAAUGCAUUGGUAUGCUAUUUAUGUAUUGACUUUACAUCACACAGGUUCUGUACUCACAUCACAUUUUAAAUGUUAUUCACAGCAACUGCUUUAACAAGUCCUUGUUCUAUGCACAUUUAUUAAUACAUUGGCAUGCCUAAUAUAGGCUUAAUAGAUUAACCAAACUCAUAAAACUCCUAAACUCCAUAUGUUGUUCCUAUAAUAAAGGAUUCAAAAGUAUCAAUUAUUUUUUACUAUAUAAUGCUUGAUUUCUAUGAAAGAUCAAAAUUUACACUCCAUAUGUUGUUCCUAUAUUAAAGGACUCGAAAGUAUCAAUUAUUUUUUUACUAUAUAAGGCUUGAUUUCUAUGAAAGAUCAAAAUUUAUAUGUUUGCCUUUUAUGUCCCAUAUGAUGUUCCAGAAAAUUUGAACCAUUAGCAUGAUGGGUCAAAUAACUAUCACCCCUAUACUUAAAUCCCAUAGUUUGCCCCUGCAUUAUCCUAUGUCUUCAUAUAUAACUAUUACACAAACCACAAAGACCCACGCUAUGAUCACACAAACACAGAUAGAAAGUUUUCAAAUCUUUUGGACAACGUCAAUGCUUAAGACCUCAUCUGGGUUCCCGUUGUCCUUGCCAUACUUUCCAUGUACCGUGAUGAUCAGUUGGCAAUAAAUACCUCCUCCUGUUGAGCAGGGCUUCAGAUUCGUUAGGAAACAGAUGGCUAGCAAAUUUUUCGUUGGAAAAGGCCUUGAAAUAUUUCCAGCAUUUCUGUGAUCAGUUCCAUCGUCUAUCAAGGCCUGGUAAAUCAUCCCCAUAGUCAUAAUUUUCCUAUUUCCACAACAACUACCUCAGGACUCAAUACCUUCCAGCAAGUACAUACUUUAAAACUUCUACACUUAUACCAAUUUAACGCAGCACGAGAGACUAUUAGUAUAAAAGAUGGAAAAUAACUGAAAGUAAUGAAAAUAGAUUAUGGACUUGAUGUAUAUCAGCAUAAAAAUACAAACAAGAUGCAUCAUGUAUGUGCAGGGUCAGCUACACAGAUCCUACUUCACUGAUAAAGAUAGUCUAUACAAAUAAUUAAUGAAUGCCCCUGUCCAAUUUUUACCAAUCACGUCAUCUUCUUUUUCAAUCUUUCAACAAACAUGCAAAAAUUACUGUUUAUAGUGGUCAUCCUUUGCUCAUAGUGCACAUCUAAGUCAUGUCAAAAGUCCACACUUGUUUUAUCUUUCUGCCAUUGAUACUCUAAAACUUCAUCUAGUAAACUCAUAUAUGGCUGUAUUCUUCUAGUUUUGCCCUUAGUAGCUGGAACCUUCUCUCCAGGGUAAAUGCACUUACUUCAAAAUAUUCUAGGUUCUCGAAUUCAUAUCCGCUUCUUUGCUAAAAGUGUUUCUAAAAUAUCCUCUUCCCGUACCCACUCCGCACACGCGCUUGAUUUUGGCAACUAAGAUUUUACCAUAUGUUUCCAUCUUUGUUGCCAUAACCUUAUGCUGAUUGGCAUCCUCCUAGCCAAUGUUUUGUUCAUCACAAGAAAAAUGGUUAAACUUUUGUAUUGUAAGCUUUUCCCUUAAGGUCUGAAAGGUAGCAUAUAGUGCAUAUCACAACAAAAAAAAGCAUAUUCAAUGCAUCCACUUUGAUUUGAGCUUCUUGGAAAAUCAUUUAUAUUCUUCAUUUUUCAAGGAUAAAUAUAAUGUUGCAUGAUCGAUUGAUGGGGAAAUUGUCCGUUCCUUGAUCCUAUUGCAUUAGAUAGGUAUCUUAAUGAUUGCAGGAAAGCCAUUGGUAAGAAGAACCAUGUGCCUAACUUUUAAGAAUCUCUUGCAUAUGUUCAUAUUGCUUCAAUUUUGGUUUUCAAUUAAAACUUGACCACUAUUCAUUGAUUGGUUAGAAAUAGUUGUUUAGCUCAAAAUCAAGCAACUUGGCUUGAUUGGAUCUUGAACAUUUUAAGGGUUUAGAUAUGUUUUUAACUUUAUCUCCUAAUUUAUAGCUCUUUGAUGAUAUCUUCUAGAUUGUCUUUGUCAAAAGUAACAUCAACAAGCAUUGUAUUUAAGCCACAAGAGCAUAAGGACUCCCAAAUGGAUGUAAGCAAACUAGUGUUAAAAGCUGAUCACUAAUUGUUGAACCUGUUCAAAGCCUGCAACCACCAAAAAAAGGCAGUAUUUCUAUAAAAUAUGUGUCCUCAUUGUUGCUCCUGCAUGUCUCUCUAAGGCCCUGUUUGAGGGAGCUUUUGAAGGGCCAAAAGACACUUUCUGGCUCUCCAAAAGCACUUUCAGAUAAAAUAGAGAUGUUUGAUAAAAAUUUCGAAAAGUUGUUUUAGCUUUAGCUUUUUUGGGAGAAGCUCCAUGUUGGAGUUUUCCGGAAAAACACUUUUAGGUUCGAUUGGAGAGCUAUUUUUUACCCAAAAUACCCGUAAUAAAAUAUAACAAUUAAACAAAAUGCCCCUUUAAUAAUUGUUUAACCAAUUUUAUCACAUAGCUAGAAAUUUUAUUACAUUAUGAAAAAUUAAUUUACACUAAUAAUUAUAAUAUUUUAUAUCUUUAUUAUUAUAUUAUACUAUAAAUAUAAUAUUAUAUUACAUUAUAUCAUAAUACAUUGAAAUGUUAUGUUAAAUAAUUUAAUAUUAUAUUAAAUUAUUAUGCUAUAGGAUACAAUAUUAUAUUACUAUAUUAUAAUAAUAUUAUAUUACAUUACAGUAAUAUUAUCCUAUAUCAUAUAUAUAUAUAUAUAUAUAUAUAUAUAUGUAUUAAUACAUAUUAUUUUUUUUAUGCUCUAUUGUAUAAUAUUAUGCAAUGUCUUUUAUAGUUAUUUUGUCAUAAAAAAGUGCUUUGUUAUUUUGUUUACCAAACACAUGUUAAAAUGGCACAACACUUUAAAAAUGCAGUUAUCAAAUAGCAAACAGCUUUUUAUAAAAGCUCUACUUCCAAAAGUUCUACUGCCAACAGCUCCUCCAAACGGGGGCCUAAGCAUAGAACUUUUUUCUGAGAAAUAGAGUGGGGAUGCCACCACCAAAGUUUAAACCAUGGACAUCUGGUUUUGUCAAGAAAAAUGUCAACCAGCUAAACUACGGCCACUUGGAAUCAAACAUCAUCUUGAAAACUCAUAGCCUAUUAUAAAUGCCUUCCAUAUCAAUAAAAUUAUUUCUACUUCCUCCUCACCAAAUAUUUCUGCAAUUGAGAAGCAAAUGUAGCUAUCUAAUUGAACUUCCUAGUAUAAGGCCAAAGUUGUCUUUAAAAAUCCAUAUUGCUCUAGGACUUUACAUCUUAUUUUUUCCAACAAUAUCAUUGAACUUUGCUUUACAGAUGACUUUAAGGCCUACCUGGUUGGCCCCGAAAGUGACUCCCGGAACUUUCUGAAAACCGACUCCAGGGAGUUGGUGAGUUUGGAAAUGAAAGUGGCCGCUAGGAAGCUACUACCCAGCCUACUCCUGGCCUUUUAAACUAGAUUCAUGACUUCGGACCCCUCCACCUCUUAAACAUGGGCACAAGCGUCCACCUCCCAACCUCACUCUCCCCUGGGGCAAUUCGAUCACCUCCAAGCAAGCCCUCACGACCCCCUCUCUCCCAGCCCCCAAAUGGUGGUCAAAUGGUGGUCUCUCCAACAUUUCUAUCCUUUCUCGUGGUGAUGUUUCCAUGGUCACUAAUUCAUUGGAUCGAGCAUUGGGAGUCAAGGCAUGGUUACUUCAUUCUUAGAUCUCAGGCGGUUUUCUCUAGUUACUCUUUUUCCAUUGAUUUCUUUUAUUUUUGGUCGAUUUCGUUGCAUUCUUUUACUUUUUGUUAUGAUUGUUAAUAUAGGGUUUGCGAUCUUGGAAUCAUAGAUUAUAAUCAGAUCUGCUAGUUUUGAAAUGAUCAUUUUUAUUAUUUUUUGAAAUUUUUUGACUUUUCGAGAAACUUGUUAAGUAGAUCCAUUGUGUUGUGAGGUAAACAGGUUGUUUCUUGGGUGCUGAGGGUUUAGCAUUCCAGCAAUUUUAGAUCUUUUCUUUAGCAAAAGAAAUCGAAGUCAUUCAGUGAAGAGAUUUAUGGUUGAGCAUUGGCUCUAUGAUUUGCCCUUUUUUGAAAGAAACUUUCAUUGGUUUUAUUUUGUCUAAUCAAAAGGACUGUGUGCUUGCUCUUCUUGGUUGCAAUUUACAUUUUGUUGGAUAUUUUCGUCUUGAUUUUGUGAUUGCUUUCUGUGGGGAGGGAGUUCUCCAGCUAGGUUAGCAAUGAAUUUGGCUAGCCAAGGUUCAUGGAGAGGUUUGAAGAGAGGGCAGAAUAUGGGUUAGUGCAAUGGGAGGGUCUUGGAAUGUCUUGCAAAUAUCAUGGAAUAGUUUUCCAUGAAGCAUGUUGUAGCGUUAUUACUAUCUUGACACUUUACAGGUCAGAAAAUCUUUUUUUCUUUGGUCCAUGCAUGUCUACCACUUUCUUGGAUUAUGUGAAGAGAGGCCAUUAUAAGCUGCUUUCUUACAAAUUGUGAAUGGCAAAAUUAGAAUGAAGCACAUAGGUCCUACAUUUUCUUGCAAAAAAGUAACUUUUCGCCAUGAGAAUUAAGUAUAAUCAGCUAUAGUUUAUUAGAGGUUGACUAUGAAAAAGAUAAGGUUGCUUUUUGCAUGAUGUUAAUGAGCUUUGACAUGAUAUGGCAAACUAAGAAAUGAAAACCUAAGGAAAUGAAUUUGAUGUAUACAUCCACAUUGUAUAGCAAAAUUUUCCCCUAGCAAUAACUUAGUCUUUUUUUUACAAAACUAAUUUUUUCCAUCGAUGAUGGAUUUUAUAUCUUGCCUUGGGGUCACUAUUUGGCUAUUAUAGUUGAUCACAGGUUCAUUGUAUGAUUGCUAUCAUGAUUUUUUUUGUGAUGGAUUACAUCAUUUGGAUAUGGUUCAGUUUUUCUAUUUGCUCACAAGUUACUAUGACAGUUGUGACAUGAUCUUCAAUGCCUUAUUCGCAAGUUUGUCAAUCACCCCUACGUGGUUGCAACUUGGAGGGCCACAUAUACGGCAACUAUUGCAGCUAUCUAUCUUGAUGAUAUCAUUUUUUCACAAGAACCCUACAAGUUUGCUAUAUAUCUUGAUUUAAUCAUGCUUGUUCACAGGUUCCUUGCGAGAUUGAUGCACAUCUUGACUUUAUCAUGCCUGUUCACAGGUUCCUUGUAAUGUUUCUAUGUUAAUUUUAUAUGUGAUGGAUUAUAUGGUUUGGAUCUGGUUCGAUUUUGCCAUUUCAUAGGUUACUAAGAUGUCCGUUUUUAAUGAUGUCCAAUGUCUUCUUCUUUGUCGACCACCCCUACACGGUCGCCACUUGGAUGGCCACAUAUAUGGCAACUGUUGCAAUCACCAUCUAUGGGGUAAUGAUGCGCAGAGUGGCUUGGAGACAAUUGCUAGGAGGAAUCUAGAUGCCAUAUGUGGCAACCAUUGCAAUCAUCAUCUAUGGGACAAUGAUGCAUAGAGUGGCUUCGAGAUAAUUAAUAGGAGGAAGUCGGAUUUUUUGCCAUCAAUAUUGAUGAUGAGAAGCACUCAUAGUCUGAGACCAUCCAAUCCACAUGAUCCCCCAUAUCUUACCACUUGUUUUUUAUUUCACAUAUCUUACUUCUUGUCUUUUAUUUUUACUUAUUUUUUGGUUUGCACAAGAGAUGAGAGACCAAGGACUAUGGUUGCUGCACUACGAAGCAAUAAACAAUAUACUUGAUAUGUUUUCUCAAUCAUUUUUACUAUUAUGUAUGGAUUUUUGGCGUCUAAAUUUGUGAAAUAGCCAUGUACUGAGCAAGGGAUUUUGGAGGUUUAGUCUGGAUGCACCACCCCCUCCCACUUUUUCCCAUGUAACAUGGACUGCUAAAAGUUUGCUCAUGACUCCAUGGAUGAAAACCUAGGAAAAGUACAAAAUAUAUAAAAAUAAUUAUUAAUAAAGUAAUUUUUUAUUCAAUAAUUGAUAUUAAAUUUGGUAAGAAAAAUAGUUUAGGUUAUUAUUGAAGAUGACUAGUAGUUUGGAUAUUGAAAACCAAUAUAAGCCAUUAGUUAAAAGGUAAAAAUUGAAUUAAUAAUAAAAUAAAAUUAUUUUAUUAAGAAACAUAUGAUUAUUUCUACAAAAUCUUCAAAUAUUAUAUGUUCCCGUUAUAUAAGCUAAGUAAUAUUAUUUAAUAUUGACAGAAUAAAAAUAAUAUGACAAUAAUAAUUAAUUUGUUCAACACAUGCCCAUACUUAUAUACAUUAAGUAACAUAUAAUAUCACUCAAGUAUUAUGAAAAUAAUUGAUAAUAUAAUAAUAAUGUUUUAGUCUAUCAAUAUGUGCUCUAUAACAUAUAUUUUAUUCAUUUUAUCAAUAAAAAGGAUAUAUUUCCUAAAAGGACAUUUUACCACCCACUUCUUGGGUGAUGAUAUCUCCCCACUUUCAGACCAACCAAACAUCCAAAGUGAUUUGACGCAACUUACUAUACCGCACAUAUAAAACGAUUUCACCACCAACAAUCCUUACUUUCCUAACAAACCAUACAGCAAACGCACUCACUUUCAGAAAGAGCACUUUCCAAAAACGUCACUUUCAGAAGUGCCUCAAAGUCUCCUCCAAUCCACUUGUGCAACCAAACAGGCCCUUAGCCAAAAUGUUACAUUGUAGACUACUCCAAUGUAAGCAAACUAUAAAUAUGACAAAUAACUCAAUCACCUAUAUCCAGCAAUCUAGAACUUCCAGAAUGGCCAUCAACAACCCAAUACUUCAUAAUCCUAAAUCAAACGGUUGGAUCAUCAAUUGAUUGUGAUGACUAUACAGUAUGUCCAUCUAUGUUUAGUCUUUCAUAUGGUUUAAGUAACAUAGUUGGUCUCAAUAUUAUUCUUCGAUAAUACCAUAGUUGGUCUCCAUUUUAUUCUUCAAUAAUACCAUAUUUCCGCCCAUGCAUUUUGCAUGUUUAACAUUGGAUUGCUAGAUUAUCUAUUUGUCUCAUGUUAUUUUCCAGUCUUUCCUAUACAAACUUUUAUAGGAAGAAGACUAUUUCCUGCAUCAAGUUAAGUUCAUCACUUCAUGUGGUUCUCUAGCUUGUUAAAAACCACAAAGUUGCCGUCUAUGUAGGAUUUGUUCCAAAUUUGGUGGGUGUGAAUAUUUUUUUUCACAAAAACAUGGUGUAGUUUAACUUCAGAUGUUUUCAGGACCAAGAUCAGAAUCCAUAACUCUUUAACAAAAGAAGCACUAAGAAUCUAAAUAACAUAUUAAACAUGAAUAUAUACUGUGCAGUGUCACAAAAUGCUAUAAGAUAUGUCUGAACAUCAAAGGAGUUUAUUCAUUGAAUAAUAUUCUAGUAUCACUGAGAAUGUGAGGUUAACUGUCAGCGACCAAACAAAGUAAGUUCCAUGAUUUGGGUUAUUUCUUUGUCAUUAUCAAUGAUAUGGAUUUAACAGAAGCAAGGUAUAAAACAACAACAAAGAUGUCUAACCUUACAAUCAGGGAGUGAACUGACAUGGGCAACGCAACUAGGGAGUAAACCAAAGCCUAAGGUUUUGAGACUUUGUUUUGAAUUUUCAAUUCAAUGGCAAAACAAAAUGUUUCCACAAUAAAAAAGUAUCAGGUUAUUUACUGUGGGAUGGCAAUCAUGGUCUUUAGGUCAUUCAGUAUUUGCAACGAAAAGUUCACUGUCCACAUAAGACAGUUAAAUAGCAAGGUUACACAAAUAAGGGAAGACAACAAUAAAAAUUACAUUGGACAACUUAAAAGAAUGUUGUGGAAUGAAAUCCAAGCUCUGAGCUAAAAAAUGCAUGUAGCCAAACAAUGUAUUUGCACAAAAAAUGCAAACAUUGAUUCACCACUAUAAAGGAAUUUUGAGAAUAAAUGUUUAACAUAACAAGAAUGACUAAUGCAAUCCUUUCAAUAUAUUAACAAGUUGGAAAAAGAAAAGGACAAGCUUUUAAUAAUAACAAUUAAAUAUUAGAAAAUGGCACUUUGUAUGUGGCGAUUACCUGAACAGGAGCAUAACCACUAGGUGCUGGCACAGGAGCAGGAGUAGGCAUGGACACUUGAGGUACUGGAUAACCUCCAUAUGGGUCAUAUGGAGCAGGUGGAGCCAUAUAUCUAAAUUUCAAGGCACCCCGAACCCAGCACCCCCCCCCCACCAAAAAAAGAAAAAAAAAUCAAAUAAAGGAAGAUACAAAUUGGUGCAAUAUGAUCCACAAGUUUUAUUAUUUACCCUGGGGUCCCCCAAACUGGAGGUGGUGGUGGAGUGUGAAAAGGUGGAGCAGGAUAGCCUGCAUGAGUAUAGUCCCCACCAGUUCGCAGGCGUUUACUCUGGUCAAUGGAGUUUGAGUCAGCCACCACACCUAAAAAUUAGAGAAUGUUAGGGCAUAACAUGUUACACAACUCAACAAAAAAGGACAAAAAAACAGAUGAAAGGUAUCACUAUACUAAAUUUGUAUGUUCACAAGCAAGCAUAUAUAGACUAGCAUAUAUAAAAAUUAAAAUUUUCUGAUGAUGUUACAGCUUGCUAUCUGUAAAAUAAAAAGACUUUCACCAUCAUAACCAAGAGAAAAUAUGCCAUCCAAUUGGAAGACACAUCCAGAAACCAUAUGAUACUAAAUGAAAACACUAGAUAAUAAAAAUAAGUACAAAUAGUUGACUGCUUGACAUAAAAGAUCAUCGUGAAUUUGGCUAAGCCUGCUCAUCAGGUAUGUAGACAAAUACGCUCAUGAGUUUACCCAGGCACACAGACAGCAACACAUUGGUGUUAUGCUUCUGCACACUGAUCUGUUCACUUGUGACAUCAAAAAUGGAAGUAUAAGAUGACCGGAUGAAGCAUGCAAGAAUCUACCUAACUCUAACCAAAUUGCAAAUAUAAUCAUGACACAACCAUGAGCAUUGUUUUAAUUAUUUAAGAUCGCCCAACAAAUCAUUUUUCAUCAUUAAUAUCUAAAUUAAUACAACAUCCUUUACUACUAUCAACUCUGCCAAAUCCUUUUACACAACUCCAUCUACAUCAGGUCUUCCAUACUCCUUCCCUGCUCCCCCAUAAAAGUCCAAACCACCAUCCAAAUACUGACCUUCUUAUAACUUUUAUCACUUAAGCUCAUACCAUUUGAUUCAAUUCCCCACCACAAUGUGCAACUCCUAUGCUUCUUCUAUGGCUUCUAGGUGCACUAAAUAUGCAUUCCAUUUAUUUUGUUCUGUUCUAUCUAACUUUUGUAUCCUUAUAAAUAUGAUACCCCCCCCAAAAAAAAAACUAUGAACUCAGCAUUGUACGUACAAAAAUUUAUAAAACACAGCAAAUGCUAGAUAAAGAGAGUGUGCCAGCUAUUUCUUGUUAUAUCUACAAUCUGUCAUAUGUAAAUCCUUUAAUAAAAUGUUGCAGUUUACAUGAUUGUAUGCACCUUCAAAUCAGUCAUAGAACCAUAUGCACAAUCAUGUUCAUGUGUAUGGAAGCAUACGAACCAAGACUAAAUGAAAUCGUCUGAUGAAGAACAAUGAUGUAGUGUAAUCAACCAAGCAUGCAAAGAAUUUCUCAUAAUAUGAGGGAACACCAUAAUUCUGAUUUGUAUUACUAGUCAUGGCUACCAUUGGAAAAACUCGUCAAUCAUUGUCUGCUUCACCUUUUUCUAUUAUUGGCGUAAGAGAGCAAAACAUAGCCAGCAAUGGCCUCAUUAAGAUAUACAAGUAUAAUCCAUCAAAGUUAUAAACAUCUAAUGAUGCAAAGAUAUGACGUUAAUAGACCAUCAGUAGGUGCCUGUCAGAAUCAUCUUCAAAAACACUCCUUUACUGACCAGGAUAAUGUUUCAGAACCACCAGAAUUUUAUCCCCUUUUACCAUAUAAUCAUUACUCGCAUGGCCAAUUUUCUUCUCGAAGUGCAACUCAUCUCAGCUGUACAAGAGCAUCCACAGAAUUACAUAAUGUCAACGAAUCUACCUUCAAAGUUGCAUGGUACAAGUUCACACUCUUUUGUUUUUACCAACCAAUUAUCCACAUAACAACAUUGCCCUUUGAAUUCUUUUCUUUAUAGAUAGCAUAUUGGUCACCAUUCCACUACACCUUUCCUUGUUUAAAGGUACCAAUUUGAUUUUAGAACACAGAAGUUAGUUUCCGAUAAGCAGCUCCUUAAUAAUCCAGUAAGGAACUGGUGCAGCCACAUUAGAUAAAUUAGCAGCUUAGUAGGCACUGUUAAAAUCAAAAAAAAGUUAAAUCAAAUUGGUUUACUUGAUCUCUCCCUCCCUUAUUUAAUAGCAAACUCAUGAUCAGAAUAAUAAACCCUAGGAAACAGCGUCACGCACCUCUCUUGACAAAAAGAUUCUUCUUCGCCAUCUCUGUGUGCAAGACAGACUUUGUCUCAGCAUCAAACACCAAGUCCUGAAGACCAGAGCCAGCAUUAGAUCUGUCAAACAGAUCAAGGUCCAGAGAUCCAAGACAGGAGAGAAACAUAAACGAUAAAGAAAGAGGGGCGAUCACCUGAAGCGCAUUCUUGGCUGCUAUGGCGUGCUGAGGAGUGGAGAAGAGGGCAAACCCCAUAGGCUGCUCCGCUUUGAAGUUGAUCUGAGACGCGUCGAACCCCGGCAACCACCUCAAGAGGUUAUGGAGCUCCCUCUCUUUCACGUCCGCCGGAAGACCCGAUAUAAAGAUCGUCCGAACCUUCGAGAGGAAAGUAAACCAAGAAAACAUCGGUGAUUUAUAGUGCUAGCGUUAGCGCCGAAAAGGAGAGGGGCAAGAGAGGGGAGGCGGUACCUCGUCGGCAGCGGUGCGAUUAGGGUUUUCGACGGGGAUAGGAGGGGCAGCCGGCGGCGGCGGCUGUGGUGGCGGCACCCACUGCUGGUGGUAGGGAUGCAUGCCAGCGCCGGCCAUGGCGACGGAACCCUAACCCUAUAGCUUGUCUCGUGUCGCAAGAGCUCCGAGGAGAACCUCCGCUAAGCCUUUCGCUUCUGGUAUGCCAGGAGUGGUGGGAGCCCCCACCCUUCGUACUUUCUCGUAAUUUAAUACCCGAAGCGUGAAUGCGGAGCGGUCAGCGGCUCCGCGGAUCAUGUCAAGCUAAACUGACCGCAUUUUUCCUUUUCUUGAUUGGCACGAAAGAAAAGGUUAUUACUGACAUAAAUUGCAAUAAAACGUUUUCCGGACGCCUAUUUAAAAAAAAAAAAUUAUAGACCUUCGAAGUCCAUCCAUUUAUACCUAGAUCCUAAAAUUUAAAAAAAUAUAAUUAACAAUCAAACUUCAAAUUUGUUGCAGUAUGAUCUAAUCGUCCAUUUAAAUCCUAACAUAGUUGACAAAGUGAGAAAAAAAAGACAAAAAUAUCUUUAAUUUAAAGAAAUUAUUCUUUGUCAUCCAGCCACCUGCACAUAUGUCAAAGCGCUCUAUCCUCUAUAAUCCAUCCAUCCUGUGUAGAUCUUAAAGCACUCCAUCUUUUAUCAUCCAUCUAUUUAUACAAAUCUCUAAGCACUCUAUUCUCUAUCAUUCAUCCACUAGCAUAGAUCAUAAAGCACUCAACCUUUUUGUCAUUCAUUUGCCCAAGUGCUUCAUCUCAAUCAUCCAUCCACAUCUACAGAUUUCAAAGAGCUCCAUUCUUUGUAUCCACCCGUCCACAUAUAUCUCAAACUGCUCCACUUGUAAUCCAUUUGCCUGCACAGAUCUUAAAACGCUUCGUCUCUACUCCAUUGACCUACAUAGAUCUCAAAGUGCUCCAUUUUCUAUCAUCUAUUUCCAUUCAAACUCAAAGCGCUCCAUCCUUUAUCAUCUCCACUUGCACGGGUCCUGAAAGCACCCUAUCAUCUUUAUUAAUCCAUCUAGACAAAUUUUAAAGUAUUUCAUCCUCUAUCAUCUAUGCAAUGCACAAAUCUCAAAGCACUUCAUCCUUUAUCAUUCAUCAAUUUACACAAAUGUCAAAGCACUUUGUCCUCUAUCAUUCAUCUACCCGCACAGAUUUUGAAGCACUUUGUCCUCUAUCAUUCAUCUAUCCGCACAGAUUUUGAAGCACUACAUCUUCUAUCAUUCAUUCGCCUACAUGGAUUUUGAAGCGCUUCAUGAUUUGUCAUCCAUCUUCCUGCACAAAUCUCAAAGUAGCCCAUCCAUCCGUCUGAACAGAUCUCAAAGUAUUUCAUCCUUUAUCAUCCAUCUGCAUGAAUGGAUCUCAAAGUGCUUCAUAUACUAUCAUCCUUCUAUUUGCAUAGAUCUCAAAGCACUCCAUUCUUUAUCAUUUAUUUUAUUGCAUGGAUCUUAAAGCACUCAAUCUUUAUUGUCCAUGCACCUGCAUAAAUCUCAAAACACUUUAUCCUUUGUCAUUCAUCCGCUAACAUAUGUCUCAAAGCAUUACUCUUCCUCAUAUUCCCUUCAAUUCCCACCAAAGCAAAAGUCCCUUGCUAAGUUAAGAAGAAGGAUAAUUCUGAAAUUUUAUAAAAAAUCAGUUAAUGUGUGAUCCUCAUCUAAUAAUAAUCCGUAAUGGAGAUAGACGGUCAGGCUACGUUGCAACAAAAAGUUUUAGCGGCUAACUGAUACUUUCUAGCCUUUUGGGAUUUAAGUGUAAAUAAUCCAAACUUCAAGAAAUGUUCGUAUUGUUUUCUUAGAAAAAAAAGGCAUAAUAAAAAAUUUAUUUCCUUUGAAGAAAGUUAACCAAAGAGCCAAUCUUGUCAAAUUAGCUAAGUCCAAUGACAAACACUUAUCAUAUUGCUAAUUUGAACUAACUGUUUAUGCAAGAUUUUUCUUGAGAAAAAAAAGUUACAUGCAAGGUUUCAAAACCAAUCAUUCGAAUUAGGGUGAGGUGGCUCAAUUUUUAUUAGUAAAAGAACACUUGUAAGUUAUAUAAAACAUUUAAACCUACACAAAUAUGCUAUAAUAAAUGAUUCAAAUGCAGUGGAUUUUGCCUUUUUUUUUCCCUCAUAGCCGCCUAUCGCUCUACUUUUAUAUAAUUAGCUAGUUAUUCUUUUUGAAAUCCUCGCAUAUGGUGAGCUCAUGCAUGCAUGUUUCGGAAAUAACAAAGUUGAAUGCUCGGUAGACCAUUACGGAUGGCCACCACGACAAAAAAAUAAAUAAGAGACGAGAAGCUUAGAUUUCACUUAAUGCCCUCUUUUGAUAUAUCUAACCAGAUCUUGCUGUAUGUAGAGAAGCUAGUGAUAAAGGGCUUUCCAUCUCUACUUCAAACAUGGAGUGCAGCCUAAAAUCUUUCCUUAUCGAUCAUCCUCUUCCUUUUGCUUGCAAUGAACUAGAGUGAUGAUAAAAUGUAUUUGAUUAAGGUUUUAUAAGGAAGAAGGAAAUAAAAGUUGCAUAGGCUAGGUGAUCAUAAAUAUUCAUGAAGAUAAUUUAAUGAUAGUACGAUAUUUAGCAGGAUUUAGUGAUUAAAAUUAUCUAUUUUUCUUUUGUAAACAUGACGAAAUAUGACUUUCAUGAAGAAAAAAAACAAUUUAUCUUUUCCUAUCAUCCUCAAACCUAGACAAUACCUUUUCUCUUGACAUUGGCAAAUGGGUUUUAUAUUUCAACAAUCGUUUGCCAAUGGAAUUCCUCCAAAGACCCUCCAUUGGUUUGUCUAAAAUCCUUUUAUUCUAAUAUUGAGAAGCUAAGCUGGAGUGUGAAUUUGUACUUCAUUUUUCACGAACCAGUAAGCGGGCUUUUUGUUAUAUAAAUGCAUUAUUUCAAUUACUCCCAAUAGUUUAAAGAUUACGACAGGGUGGAUAUACAUCUACUAAAAAACUCUGUAUGUUGAUUUAAGAAAAAUCUAAUGCAAGAGCAUUUUCCAAUACAAUAUUCAACUGUCAUGUUACUUUUCAAAAUUAACAUUUAAAUCUUUGCUCGAUCUAGAGUUUAAUUAUCCUAUUACCUCUGUAAUGCAUGCAAUAUAUUAGUCUCUUAUAAAGCAUAAAAACAUGAGAAUGCCAUUGCUCUGUAAAGAUAACAACCCAAGAGAUGAAGUAAUCAAAUAGCCAAUUGCCUUUAGUGAUUAGCCCUUGCAAUGAUGGAAUCUCUCUCUCCAUCUCUUUCUAUGGAAAGAAGUUGGAAGAAAAAAAAGAGAUAAAAGGAGUAUGACUUAUUAAUUACAUAUAUUCAAUUUAUCUCAACAUGGUAUUAUUUUCUACGGAUUAAUCUUGAAUUAUUGGUUAUUUAAAUGUUGACCAUGAGGUUGAAAAAGUUUGUUAGCUGAUUUUGUUUUUCGCACAACUCUAAGCUCGGUCGGAGAGCAAGCCUUGAGUUUUAAUUUGAUUUAAGGUUUGUAUCUAAGUAACUGGAAGUUAUAUUGGACAUGAAGUAUUGCACUCAUAUACAAUACGGAACUUAUAAAUCCUCAAGAUAGGAUAUGAAACUUAUGAAUCCUUAAAAAUAAAAUUACCCUACACACAACUUUUCGCUUGACAUCGGCUGCUGAUAGGACUAGUUGCCUUAUCAUUUACUAGCAAUAUAGUUUAAAUAAUUUCCCCCAAAAUUCAGUUGUUUAAAGAUUGGUGAUACUAGGAGAACAAAUAUUAUGGAUCACUGACUGGAGGAAUAACUAAUAAUUCAAUAACAAUUUAAUUAUGAUCAUUAAUUUAUAUUAAUAAUCAUUACUGAGGCAUAUUUCUUACAAAUAACUAGAUCCAAGAAAAUAGAUCACUAAGGCAAUUGCCUUAUCCUCCUAAUAGACUUGAAAUCUCAAGCAUGCAUAUUAGGCAUUAUUUAUGGGUUUGAUAUAUCGCAACACCAGUCUAACCAUGAUCCAUCGUGCUAGUCCAUACUGUCUGAUAGGGGUGUAUCAUAACGUACCGAAUGAAAAUCGAUAUAAAACUGAAGUUUGGGUUGAUAUGGACGUUAGACCCUAUACCACCGUAUAUUGAAGUAUAUCGAGAUGUGUAUCAAGUCGUACCGAUACAUGCUGAGAUUAAAAAAAGACGAGAAAAAUGAUUAGAGGAAUGUUUCGAUAUGCGGUGGAUAUCGUACUGCACCAAACUAGUAAGAUGCCGAUCUUGUAUCUAGUGAAGAGAUUGUGGAUUUGAGUAUAACCAUUUAUAGUUUAGAUAAAUGCAGUUCUUAGUUUAGUUGUAAGACAAAUAAAUAAAAAAAAGGACUGAAGUUUUUAAAAUUAUAAACAUAAUUCUGAAACCACACAACACAAAGAAUUGUAUAAGAUAUUUAAUUAAAUUGGAUCUUGCAAUUAUUUUUGCUCCCUCAUGGAGAUCACACUGGAUUGGGUUAUGCAAUUAUCCUUUGCUACCUAUUAUACAUAUUGUAAAACCAAACUCUAGUAAUCUUCCAACAUAAAAAUAACCCUACAAGGCCACAAUCUAAAAUAAGGUGCUUGUUCUAUAGAACCCAAUGAACCUCCACCAUUAACAUGAACCUCAAGUCAAUUCUUAACCUUUAAGGAAACCUUCAUGUUCGAAUAAAACCAUAUGUAACGUCCAAGCAAACUAAAUAGUUUAUGUAAAAUCUAAUUUUGCUAUUAAAGCCAAACACUGUGCCUUGCGAAGGGCAUAAAAAUUAGCCACUCAUGACUGAUGUUACAUAUAAGUCCUUACCAAGGAUUGAAUUAUGUAUCGAGUCUACAGUCAAACUCUCAGAAAUAUAAUACACGACAGGUGUUUUUACGCAAAAAGCCAUUCCAUCGAUCACUCGAGCCGCUGAGCCAGCUCUCUCCGAUAAACCCUUCCGAGUCCUAUCCCUCCGACACCUUAGGGUUUUAUCAGUGUUCCUGUCGGUCUUCCGCCACAGCUAAGAGAGAAGGGAAAGAGCUCGCGGAAUCCGAAGGAGAGGCAGCCAUGGCUUCCACCAAAGUCCAGAGGAUCAUGACCCAACCUAUCGUACGCUCUUCUCCCACUCCCCUUCUUUCUGGAACCCUAACUUUUUUUCUAUUUAUAGUUAGCUUAAUCUUUUGUUUUACUUUUUGUUCUAAUUGUGGGCGGGGAUUGGUUGCUCGUGCGGCAGAAUCUUAUCUUCAGGUUUCUUCAGAGCGUAAGUUUGGAUCUAUCCGUUUUUUUUUUGUUUCUUGGUAUCCUGAUUCAAUAGAAUUGCUGAUUUUGUUGAUUUUUUUUGUUAUUGGAUUGCUCUAGAAAGCUCGCAUCCAGAUCUGGCUCUUUGAGCAGAAGGAUUUGAGGAUCGAAGGGCGGAUUAUUGUAUGUUCUUUUCCCCAUUUCUCUAGGGUUUAUGGUUUAAGCAUUAUGCAAUUCAUUUUAUACCGUUACCUUGUUUUUUGCUAGUAAAAUCAGAUGCGCAUACCAAGUCUUGAUUUUUUUUCGUUCGUGUUUUUCUGCUGUGUUCUGUGUGUAUACUACGUGCUUGUAUCAAAUCAGGAUUAGAUAUCAAUGCUGUAAUAUUAUGCAUUUCAGCUUAUUGAUAUUCACGAUUUCUUUAGUUGAUGGUGGUUGAGGUUUUAAUGUACGUGCACAGGACAAUUAACGAAUCAGGUACUAGCUUGCUAUUUAUGGACAUUGUGUAUUCUGAAAUAUAAGAAGCAAGCAAGGAGUAUUAUGGAGUUCAAGAGGGUAAAUGUUAAAUAAUCAGGUGCUUGCUUGGAUUUAUGGGCAGGAUGCAAGAGUGAAGAGAGUCGGGUAUCAAUUGAUUUUUUUUAAAAAAUAUUUUGUAGCAUAUAUGUUGUUGGUACUUGCAAUUAGUUUUAAGAAAUUUUAGCCAUAAAGGGUACGAGGUGCUAGAUGUAUGUCUAUUUAGGUAAAUUUGUAUUGUCGGUGGACACUUAUAAUAGAAAGAAUUGCUGAAUUCUUCUUCAUCAUUAUCAUUUUCUUCUUCACUUCUUCACUUCUGCAUUUUUUUUCUGAUAGAAGGACUUUUUCCUGCUUAAGUAUAAAACAUAAGGCCCUGCUAAUAUAGUUGAUUGUCCUUUUGUUUAUGCUUGGGUAAGAGUAUCUUCUUGAAUUGCAUGAUCUUUGCUUGAACUGGCACAAGGGAAUAUUAUAUUUAGUUAUAUGACUUCCAAAAUGGUUUGCUUUUUUGAUGGAUCAGAUUUUCAAGACACAAAUAAACAGAAACAUCUUUUUUUGCAUAUUGCAUGUGUAUAUUGUAUCAACUAAUGGAAUAAUUGUUGGAUAAACUGCAACUUGUAAGACAACUUAGAAGCUAGUUCAUUGAUCAGUUGAAUCAUAGAAUCCUGAUUUUGGUUUUAGGGGAGCAAAAAUUUGGUGGUUUCUUGGGGGACCAUACAUGGUCGGCAGAACCGUCCCGAACCAUCUGGUUUGGAAUGUUCUAAGCCGUACUAGCGGUGGACUGAGAUGGUUCUGGCAACCAAAACAAGAAAUUAGGAUGGAGGGAGAGAAGAAGGAAAGAGAGGGAGAGCAAGGGAGGGAGGAAGAGGGAGACGAAGGAAGAGAGAAGUGAGGGUGCCGGCCGGCCGGUGGAGGGCUAUGGAGGGCCGAGGAGCCAUGCGGAGGGGCAACGCUUCCGGUUUUCUUGUUUCGUUUGAAAUAGGGGUUCCGAAGGGGGCCUUUUUUUCUUUUCGAAAAUUUUAAGUGAAGUCGGCUAGAGGUUUGCCGGCUUCACUUGAAAUUUUUGAAAAUAAAAAGGGACCCCUGAACCUCUCCGCCGCCCCUCCGUGCGGCUCCGCCGGCCUCCUCUCUCUCUCUCUCUCUCUCUCUUUCUCUCUCUCUUUCUCUUUGGUUCUUCCUCUCCUGCGCCUCAUCUACUGUGUCGGUAUGGCCCGGCAUGGAAUGACAUGGGAGGUACCGACCUGUGCCACUGGGCAACUGGUUCGGGCUCCGAUUCCGGCACAACAAUCUUUGGAACCAUAUGUUGACAUUGUCCACAUAUUUUAAGUUCCCUUCCUUCCUGAUCACCCCUUUUCUCACUCGUUGGGUGGGUGACAUUUCCACCUUACCAUUACUAUUGUUACAAGGUCACAUCAUUGUUUAUAUCGAUUCAUAAUAUACUAAGGCGAGAAAUUUCUUCAAAAUGGCAGAGAGGUUAUUUGCAUUACUUUCAAGCAUAAAAUUUGUCAAAACUCAACACCAAGAAUUUCCCUGUUUGGAUAACUGGCUUAGAGUUUUGAUGAAUGGUCCACUUAAUGUUGUUGAGAAAACACUGAGUACAAAAUGUGGCUGUAAUGGGUUGUCAUAAGAGAUAAUUGGUUUGUUUCAAUGUUGCAUACUAUUUGAACCAUGCUAUAUUCGGUUAUGGGAGUGAGGUUCUUGAUCCGUGGGGACCAAAAAUGUUAAAAAUUGCAAUAAGUUCAUAUUCUUUUAUAUUUUGAAGAAAUCAUGGUUUUAUAGAAUAGAAAAUUUCAAUGUUCUAAUCAUGGCAUAACUGCUUUCAGUUUCUUAAGUUAAACUUUAUUCAUCCUUUGCUAAUAUAUAUCGAGGGUUACGACUUCACUUAAACAUUAUCAUGUCUAUUAAGGUCCAAGUUUUGGUUGCAUACAAGCAUUCAUCGAAUAUCUAGGUUACCCAGACACUUCAUUUUUCAGGCAUUUGGAAGUAUCAUCACUUUGGACACUUGGACAUGGUAGGAGCAUAGGACCCAACAUGGCAUGUUUGGAUAUUCUACUUUGAAGUGUCUUGUCAAUGAUAGCUAAAAAGACGGGCAAACGAGCAAGCUGUUCCCGAACUAGCUCAAGUUUGGCUUGAAAUUAGGCUUGAGUUCAGCUCAAUCGAUUAAGAAAUGACCCUAGCUAGAUCUAGGCUUAACUCGCUUGAGCUCAACUAGAAUUAGCUUGAGACACUUAUUUAAAUAUUAUAUAUAUUAUCUAUUAUUUUAAUUGUUAUUAUCUAUAAAAUAAUUUUUUUACAAUUGUUUAUUAUAAAUUAACCUAGGUUGUGUAGAAUAAAACAUAUUUUAAUUAUAAGAUUAAAAUAUAAUUGAGAUUAUUAUUCCAAACUAUACAUACGAAGGCAUCGAAAGAUCCUAGAUUGUUAUGAUAUCUCUUAACAAAGCUGUUCAUGAGCAGCUUGAGCUCUGUUCAAUUAUUUAAUGAACGGAGCUAGAGCUAGGCCUGGCUCAGCUUGUGUUUGGCUCGUUUCCAACCCUAGCAGCAAUUGUCACUUUUAUUUGGAGUUUCAUGCAAGGAACUAGACAUUUUAAGCAAAGUCUUAUUACAUUUUAAAGGUUAUCACAAUUAAUUGUUAGUUUCAGUAUCUUAACAUAUUGUAAGUAACUGUAAAUGAACCUUAUGAAUAACUUAAAAAACAACUUAUAAACUUAUGGGUAUUAUAUUAUUUUGUUUGUUAGUCAUCAUAUAUCUAUCAAUUGUUUGCCUUUUCUAUUUGACAUUUUUGUAUGAGAAUGACUUCUAUGUGUAUUUCUGCAUGUCUAUGUCCCUGUGCCUAGAUCCGUGGAGUCUGAUGUAUCAUAUGUUUGAGGAUAUUCUUUCACCAAAAAAGGGACAGACACUGGGCACCUAAGUUAAGUGUCCAGGUGACAAUGCUAGUGCGGUAAAAAGCAAGUAUUUUGCACAGAGGAUUUGCAUGUUCUGCUUUCUUUGAAUACUUUGGUCUGGCAACCCUAUAUCUGCAAUGCCCAAUGUUUGUUGAACGAUAGGUUAAUGAUACUAUCUUCCAUUUAGUUGCCCUAUUUUGUUGUAGAAGUUGAUGGACUAUUAUACUGCCUGAAAACCUUACCACAUUGUAGUCUAGGGGCGGGUUAAUUAGAUUUAUAUGAGAAAAUGGAAAGGAAAGGAGUCUUUUUUGGAACCAUUUUGUGCUUAUUCUAAUUUUACAAUAACCAACAAAUUCUUUUAUUUAUGCAUUGAAUAACCAAAUAAUCCAUUCAUUUUUCAAUAUGUACUUUCAUAUUUACAUUCCAUUAUCAAUGCAUCUGAACCAUCAUAGUGUCUGUAGAAUACUCUACUUCAGUAACUGUCAGACUGUCCUAAACCAGGCGGUUCGGUGCGUAUUGAACUGGACUGAAGAUGUGUAUAUAUCAUAUAUAUAUAUGUAUAUGUAUAUAUGUGUACAUACACACAUUUACACACACACACACCCUCCACUUUCACCCUCUCCCUCUCUCUCUCUCUCNNNNNNNNNNNNNNNNNNNNUCUCUCUCGAUUCUUCUGAGCUCUCUUUCUCUUCCUAUGCCUCUCUCUUCCGUCCAAUCUCCCGCUCUCUGGAUCUCUUGGUCUCUUCGUGAUGAUGAUCGCUCCCUGAUGGCUAGGGUUAGGUUAUACCAUUGGUUGUUUCGGUAAACCUCGGCUGUUACAAUAUGUAUCGAUAGCGUACCGAAUUGGUUGUUGGCAGGUAUGUCCUCUAGUACUGGUUUAGUGAACCUUGCUUUAUACCAUUUCUGUUAGGUUUUUUUUGUCCCUUUCUUUUUCCAAACCAAAAUUAACUAAUCUUCUUGUUGGUUCAACUCUUUCUCAGCAUGUAACUGAAUUGUUUUUUUGAAAAAUUACAGCGAUGCCCCUUCAACUUUUUGCGAAAAACAGUUACACUCCAAAAGUUUUAAUUUUUUCAAUUAGACCUCAAAAUUUAGUUUUUAGUGGCAAUGUGGCCUAGCUGUCCAUCUUAGUUCUAACAUCGUUAACGACAUGUGUAAAAUGACUAAUUUAUCCGCAGGAGUUACCGGUGGAAUGGGGGAGGAGUCACAUGAUUGGCAGGUGAUCUCCUUCCAUUCCUACCAAAAAACUUACCCCUCUUCUAAGCCAGAUGGGAGGGGUAUUAAUGGCAUAUUAUGUCUGAAAUUAUGUCACGUGACAAUCAUGUGUUCACAGAUCCUAAUGGAGAUGGAUGGCUAGGCCACUUUGCAACUAAAAACUAAGUUUUGUGAUCUAAUUGAAAAAAUUAAAAGUUUUGUGGUGUAAGUGUUUUCACGAAAAGUUAAAGGGGUGUUGCCGUAACUUUCCUCUUUUUUAAAUGUUGCUUCAUGAAAGCAUAUUAUUUUUUUUCGGGGCAUCAUAGAUGUCAUAUGUACAUCUCAAAUAUCCUCAUUUUUUCGCUCAUCUUUUUGUAAGUGUCAAACAUGCUUAAUAUUGCAACCCAAUACCUAACUUAUGCUGAUUUUAUCUGGUAAUUUAUUGCUCAAUACUUUUGUUUGUUUGAGAAGUUCGUCAUGUUUUAUACAAGAAGCUAACACUAGAAGAUCUCUCCUUCAUCACACCUGUUCUUAUUUAAUUGGAAGUGGAAAUGUUCACCCAUAUACAGCUAUAUAAAUUAGAUUAAGAAAUUCUUAUGAAAGUUAAGGAAUGUGAGAUCAACCCUGAGUGGUUACUUUUGUUAAAUUUGGAUCGUGGAACCACAUAAGCAUUAAUUGAAGUUAUUUGCCUUGGUUUCUCUCUAGGCCCUUUUAUUGUUGCAUGAAACACGAUACAUUUUAUGGUCAGCAAUCUCAUGACCUUUCUUUCUAUUUUCUUCAAGUUAAUGGAACCAUCUGGAAUUUUAUGGUCCACAACCAGGAUCUUAAUAAAUUGAGUAUGAAACUAUGAAGUGCUAUUUGUGUGCUUUCGAUUUUGUGGUAAGGAAAAUAAAUCUGGUGGUGAUAUAAUAAUGUUUUCAAUCUAUUAAAUAUUAUAUAUUUUCUUUCUUAAAAAAAAUUGGUGUUGUUUUCUUUGUGAUAUCUAUCUUACAUGGCAAUGUCUGUGAUGUUUUUGCAAUGCAUGUUAUUUUCCUUUGCAUUGUAUAUUAGCAGAAAAAUAUUUUGUCUUGGAAGUUGUGUUUCAAGAGCCUGCCAAAGAUAAUUACCAGGAAUUAUAGCUGCUUAUGCUUGUUCUCUUUGGAAGCUGGAGGGUGUAACUGCUUUGUUUACUAUAUCAAGCCAGAUAUUAUUGGUUCAUGCAAGUUAAAACAAUUUCCCAAAUAAGAAUAUGUUCUGGAGUUGGAGCAUUUCAUAGCUACAUGUCUAAGCCCGUUGCCAACUAGUAAAUGCUUCAUUGUACGAGUUUUGAGUCCAUCGGUAAUUCUUGUGCAUAUUAAUUUAGGGGAGAUUGUCUAUCAUGUAAUUGGACUAGGAAUUUUAUUUUGUUAUUGUAGUUAGUUGAGGCAUGGCUUUGCUUGAAGUAUCUGCUUUAUUAUUAGUUUUAGAUAGGCUUAAGGCUUUUGCAUUUUAAUUGUGGAGGAAAUAUAAUUAUAUAUCUUUUAGUUGCUAAAAUAGGAUGAGGCUUGUUGCGAUUGAUCUUAGUAGCUAAGUCUAGUUUAAGUUGGAUAGAGGUUGAAGCAUUAGCAAAGGGCAUGAUAUGGAAAUGUUAGUUACUCUCUCUCUCUCUCUCAUUGAGUAUUCAUCUCCUUUAUCUUCUUUGAUAUCUUCUGAAAUGCAUUCAGGGAGCCCUAUACGGAGUCAAGCAUAGUUAUAAAAACCAUACUGAACUAGCCAGUUCGUUAGAAAAACCGGCGAACUAGACCCUUGACCAGUUCAGUUUUUACAUAGGAUCAGAAGUGAUGGCGGACAAAGCUCUCGAGGGAAGGAAGAAGAGAUGCUCUGAUACCAAGCUGAUGGCGGACCACUGCAGGGAGAAAACAGAAACAGGAAGAAGAAGGGAAGGAGAAGGAAGAAGAGGUUAUAUAGACACAGGAAGAAGAGAAGAGGAGGAAGAAGGAGAAGAAGCAGAAAGGAGGCUAGGGUUUUUAUUCAAUCAUUCAACUCCCUAAUUCAUGAGAGGAGUGGCCCUUAUAUAGGCCUUACAUCAUGAAUUGACCAAGUCAAACAACUAACAACUAACCAAAGUUGGACCUUUCAAUUAAUUGACUAAGUCAAUUAAUUGAUUACAUACCAAAUUAAACCUUACUAACAUUAGACCAUUAAACCAAUUAAUCACACCCAAAAUUGGAUCUUUAUAAUUAGGUCUUACAUUGAUCAAUUGAUCCAAUCACUUGACUCAACAACCAAAUCGACUCAAACAAAAGCAACUAAUAAGGCAGUAAAAGAUACAUGAUGCAGACUCGAAUGAACCCAAACCGAGGCCUGACUCAACCCGAUGGCUCAAAACUAUCUCCUAGCCAUAAUGAUGUCAAUCCCUGGCGUGAACACGAACGAGUAGCUCUGAUGUCCCCAUCCCCAUCAAGAAGUUUAGUUCAACCACUUGAGUAUCACUAACUUGGCCAGUUUUUAGGAAAAAGCAGCGAACUAAGUAGAUAGGGUUGGAAAUGGGUCAGUCCACGUGCCUACCCAAGCUCGGCCUUUUUUUUAUUGAGCUUCAGAUCAGGCUUAGGUCCAAAAUUUUUGAAAAAUCUAGGCUCGACCCGAGUUAGGCCCGGGCCUAACUUGAAACCCGAUUGAGCCGACCCAAAUUAGCCGUUUGGGCCAAAAGUUCACAGUAGUUUGCCAGCGAUAGGAGGAUUGCUUACUUGCCUUCGCCUUGCUUGGAUCGAUGAUCGACGUCCAACGAAAGGUAUGACCUUCAGGGACCAACGAUUGGGUUGGAAUGGGGCAGGGACCAACGUUUGGGUUUGAACAGGGUGAAGAGGGUGGUGGAGGCGUAGAGAAGAGAAAAGCGAUGGCUUUUGAUUAGAAAGUUGAAAUAUUUAGGUCUCUAAUUUUAAGCCCAAACCCAAUUUGAAAUUACUCAGGGUCUAGCCCAUAGCCUUGUCUAAAGUUGACAUGGCCCGAACCCAUUUCCAACCCUACAAGUGGGUGAAAGCAGGUAAUCGGGCUGAUCAAAAUUCUUCAAAAAUUGUUGAUAUUGUGGAUGAGUAGUGAUUACCCUUGUCCUGGGGUUUGCGAUGGAGCCUCUCAACCCCAGGAUGCUAAUUGAUUUUUGAUAACUUAUGAAGGGAAAAAAAUAUCUAUGUUAUUCAAUAGAUGUUAUUUACUCAAUUUUUUAAUAACAAUUUCUUUCCAAUCGAAAAGAAAAUUAAUCAUUUUUUUCUUUGGUGCAAAAUUAAAGAAAAGAAUGUAUACUUUAUUUAUAUUUUCCUAUAUUAUAUACAUUUUUACUUACAUUUUUUUCAAAAUCAAAUGAUUAUGAUUUUUUUUAUGUAUGCCGCAAUGAAAGAGUAAUGUAGAAUAUAGAUCAAUGUGUUCUAAAGAGUAGUAUUUAAAGCAAAAAAAAUCAUAAAUCCUUUUCAUCAAAAAAAGGAUAGAACUGUGGAUAGUUAUACAUUUUUUAUAUUAUAUCCAAUUUUUUAAAAUAUUUUAAUCUUUUAAUAUUCUAAUUAUAUUCUGGUUUGAUCGGUUAACAUGGCAGUUGGACCAAUGAUUUUUAUAACCAUGGAGUUAAGGUUUUUGUUCCCUUACAAAGAAGAGAGUAGAUUUGUUUUCAAAAUAUAAUGCUACAUAAGUAGUGGUAGAACAAGGUCUGUCCUUGCUAGUUGGCUUCAACAAUGAUCUAUUUGCCUACACGAGAUAAAAAAGAAGAAGAGCUACUUGGUAGUAAUCCUGUGAUUAGUGCAUAGUCAAUAAAAUAAAUAAAUAAAUAAAUAAAAGGUCCAAAAAUUGAUGGUGGUGCUUAUGGACAUAGCAUAUUGGCUAAAACACAAGCAAAAGCUUUAAGGAAGGUAGCCUAAGGAGGACAAGAUUGGCAUAGUUGGUCUUCGAGAGAAAGGGUAUACAAGCAUCAUGUUACUGGAUCUAGUUUUUCUCAUAAGAAUAUAAGAUCUAUUCCACACUGAGAAUGUAAGAUCUUCUCAGAGGUGAAGAAAGUGCACCUUGUAGCCUACUAGCUUAAGAGAUAAUUGUUAUUUCGUGAGAGCAGCUUAAGUUAGGAAUGGUAUUGGCAACAAAGUAUCUACCUAGCAGCAGUUCAAAAAAUUGUUAUAGUCACAUUCUGCACCUGAUAGUUAUAUAAUUGAGUUCAAUUUCUGCAAUAUUCAGACUUUCAAUGCAACAUAAAGCUAGAAGCAUGAGGACAUACAACAUAGUUUCUGAGUUAGAUAAAUUCAAUACGAUGCACCUUUUUUUUCGAUGAGUUAUUUGAAAUAAUAUGCCUAAGAAAGGAAGCUCUUCGUUCCAAGUAUGCUUUAUGUGGAUUGAAAUUCUUCUCCACUUUCUCUUCAUGGAAUAUUUUUUAAGUCUGUUGUACAUAAGGUUGUGGAUUUGAAAAGGACUUCAGGGAUAUCAAUAAUUGGGGCGAUGUCUCCAAGGAGGAUUGGUAUGAUAGUCGAAGAGGUCAUGGAAGAUCAAAUUGACGACUGAAACAAGUUAAUGUCAAGGAAAAUUUUACUAGUGGCUGCAUGUUCUAGGCCAAGGUUGGCAACAGCGGCAGGAAUUUUCAAUCUGAUAGUUUUGUUAAGAUUUGAAUUAUUAUUUUGGCAGCUUGUGUGGAAUCUGACUGGUCAUGCACCACAGGCAAGUGGACAGCUAUACUUGCAUUUGAUGUUAUGAUCUAAUGCAUCAUGAAAAUUAGGAAAGUGAUCUAAGACUUCUAGCUCAGGUUUUGUUAUGGCUAUUUGAACAAGAGUGGUGAAUUAUCUUCUUUAAAAAAUUGAUUAAGAUUAUAAAUGGUUAUCAUUUAGCACCAUAUGAAUAGACAUACCAUCACAUAGUGCUGCAUGAAUUUACUGUCUGCAGGGGUACAAGUUGGUAUGCAACUAUAAUACCUCGAAAUUCCAGGACAAAUCAUUUUGAAAGGGAUAAUUUCAUGCAAGAGAAGUAAAAAAGCAACAUGAAUGGGUUUGUAUUGCAUGUCAUAUUCCAGAGAUUAAGAUCGAGUCUUAUGGACACCAUGGUUUUUUACACCGAGGUGGUAGCACAGUUGGAACGGAGCUUUGUUUCCAACAGAGUGACUCAGGUUCGAAAUGCGCGGGCGUCGAUUAAAUGUGGGGACCGGAUGCCCGCCUGGUUUGCCCGUUGGGAGCGCUACUGAUCCUCUGGUACUGAGGUGGUGCUGGGGUGACAUACUCACAUGCGGGUUCGCCCGUGCUAGUGGGUAAGUUAUGAGAAACUUUCUACCUGCAUCGGACAUUCUCUGGUGGAAGGGGGGCCCAGUGGGGCUGCUAUGCGGGUGGGGUUAAUUCCCCUCCCCCCUCCUCUCCUUUUGUCUAGCAAAAAAAAAGAGCUUGCAGUUCAACUGGAGCAAAUGGCAUAUUGGGGUUGGAUAAGUUGUUUGGCGAGGGUGACUAUUUCUUUUGAUUGAGAUAAGUGGUUAGGCAUGUUUCAAGGUUGAAAAAAGUCUUAGUACUAGUAGAGGUCAUUGUAAUAUAGAGUUAAACACAUUAUUUUAUAUUUUCUUGUUUAAUCCAAAGUUCAGAAGCUCUGUUUCUUUUCUGUUUCCCAUACUGAAUCGGGCACCUCAUUCUAUAAUUCACCAAGGCACUUAAUUAUCAACUCAACUUUUCUAUAGUGACGUGAAGUAGCGGAUGAAAUGAAUGCCCAUGCACAGGUAGUUACUUAAACCCUUUAUUGCUAGGAUAACUUUCUGUAGUUUUCUCCAUUUUUUCAGCAAAAAAAAACCCUUUAUGGCUAGGAUGAGUUGCUAGUGGGCCUUCUUUUGCUUCUGAUGUAACCCGAAUAGAUUGGCUCUUGUUGCUUUUUUCAACUUUUCCAUAGUGCUACAUUCACCAUCAGGUUCCUUCUAGCAUUGGAAACUGGUUGCUUUCUGCGUAUUCUUUUUCCUUUUUCUUUUUUGUUUUUUUUCUUUGCUUUGUAAAAGAGUGAAUCAAUUCCCUGAUAUAGGUGAAUAUUUUAAUACAGCAUCAGGCAGAUCCGAAGCGCUCCUAGAGCUUGUAAGCAAUUAUGGUUGAGCUGGUGGAUGGUACUGUUUAAGGUUUUUAUGCUAAUUGUCAAACCAUUGACUCUGAUUGAUGGUGUGCUCUGGAUCAUAGAUCAUUCACUGUGUCUAUUCCUAGUUUCUUGCCUCAUUUUGCAAAUUCUUUUGAUUCCUCCACUAAUACAAUACAAAAGUUUGGAUGGUGGCCAUUGUUGUGUAGCUAGUGGAGUGGUCUUUGUUUUGGACAAAGUGGCCUAUGUUGAUGACAGUGACAUGGACAUCCUGCAUCUCCAUUCUUAUUUGAUAUAGUCGCAAAUUCUCGAUGUGUGGCAUAACAUGAUCAUACAUAAUCACAUAACAGAAACAAACUAUACUCCUAAAUGGAGAUAUCUAUACGUGUGAACAUCAUAGGCCUCUUUUUCGACAUCAGGAUGUGUUUAGACAGAAUCAGACGAGGAUCAGUUUUGAUACUGAACAUCAAUUUUAUGGCAUAUCAUGCAGGGUUUUGAUGAGUACAUGAAUUUGGUGCUGGAUGAUGCUGAUGAACUUAACAUUAAGAAAAAUACCAGAAAGCCGCUGGGUUAGUUAUGUUACUCUCUGUCUUAUUAUUUGCUUUUUUUGCUUUCUUCAUUUUGAAUUUUUGCUGAAUGCAUCUUUUUUUAUUUGUUCAGGGAGGAUUCUCUUGAAAGGAGACAACAUAACUUUGAUGAUGAGCACGUAAGUGAACCAAAAGUUUUCUUCUCUAUGACGUUGCUCCCACUCCUCUCUCUCCCUAUCGGUUCUACAGUUUUAACUUUUCUUUGUUCUUUUCCCAUUUCAGGGGGAAAUGAUGACUGCUUGUGCUCCGGGAGGUUUUACUUGAGCUUGAACUAGCUUUUAUCUGGAAGGACGUGGUGGCUGACUUUUUAGCAUUUCGAAGCUUUGUUUGCGCGCCUUUUCAACUUGCUUUCAUAUAUAUGAUUUUAGAAACCUUCUGUAUGGAUAUUUGAGCUGCGUGAUAGUUUACCUACUUUGGAUUAAACUGCAGUACUUGAACAGAUACUGUACCCAAGGUAUCUUCAGGUGUGCUUAGUGCUGCAAUCAAAAGGCUUGGUUAUGAAGGCCAAGGUAGAACCUUCUUCAUAUUCUCCUGUAUUCUGAUUGCUCAUCUUAAAGUCAUUGUCUGUGAGAUCCCAUUCGUUUCGCACGAUUCAACAGACGGUGUAUUCAGAAUCGUGCACGCUCAGAUGUCUGCGAUUGGACUGGGUACCCUAUAUGUAAUCUCUUCUUUUUGGAACUUUGAGUUCUUUGAAGUGGAUGGAACUUAGUGACAGGCUAUGGCAACCUUAAGCAAAGAGAUGCCUUAAAACUUUUUCAUCAAUUUCCUCGCUAGUGUUGUUGCUUCUCCUUUCUAGUCUUUACGUGGUAUUUGUUUUAUCCCACCAUUCACCUUUGCCAAAAGGAUGUGAUACAUGGAGCUAAAGUAGUUUACGCCACGCUGCGCUAAAGUAUAUCAUCUGACUGGGAGCAAAGUUAAAGCUGUUAAGCUUUCCUGGUGGUGGAUUUGGUUUGCUCAACUUUUUGUCAUCAACUGCUCUUAUCCUUAAGCUGGGCUGUGGCAGUGGAAUAGAUUUUUUGUCACAUCGGUUCUGUCAUCAGUUGUAAGGUAUAACACCCAAUUUGUCAAGUAAUGAUGAUGGUUAACCAAACCACCCAUGAUUAAAGCCUGUACUCUUGUGAGGGAGACAGCCACUCAGCCCAUUGUAUUUAUUAACUUUCAACAAAUCACACUUCCUCAUUGCUCCAUAGAUUGUUCUAUGGAUUAAAAUAAGUGAAUUAUGUUGGCCAAACUCCACCGUGGUCAUGUUAUCAGGGGACCCGGCGGACAAAUCCAACUUUGUUCUUCCAGCCUCGCCUUGUCUUUGAUACUAGUAAUAUUUAAAAGCCCACAUAAAUCAUUAUUGUUAGUGCUUGCCCCAGUGCUUAUCAGAAAACUAAAUCAUAGUGCUUAAUAAAAGGGAACGUGAGUACUUCUGCAACUAUGUCAGUCGCUUGAAUACAUAAAAGCAAGAUUGCAUGACAGACAACGACGGUUAGUAGAAAAUUUUUGACUGCCAGUCAAGUCGAGAUCCUUCGGCAAUCAGAUGUAUAUUAAAACGAUAGGAAAAUAAAAGUAAACUUUAAUUGAUUAAUUGUUAUCAUCUCUGUGGUCCGGACAAUGGCCUGUUAAUGCACAGCUCCUUCUGAAACUGUACUGGAUUUUUGUUUCUCAAACCAAAGCCUCAGAUUAUUAUCAUAUUAAAAAUAUACUGAUUAAUCUCGCUACAAUUAGCCCUCCACUCAUAGUCUUGCAAACUGAAGAAUACCACACUAAGCUACGUGCAAACAAUAUAUUACACUCAGGCAUUGCAGUCUUCAUGCAGAUUUUUUUCUGUCAGCUUCUUGGAGGUCACUUAUGGCGAGCACAUCCUCCGCAUCAUAGAGUUGUGUACCGAGGGUUGCUGUGGAGUUACUGGAGUAAUGGUACGGUGCACCAUAGGACAUGGGCGGAGAGGAUUGCCGAGGUCCGUUGGGGGUAGGCAUUCAUAGGGUGCCACGUCGGAUUGGCAACGAAGUUGGGAACUGGCGACCCUUUAGAACGUUUUUCUUGUGUAUGUCCUAUUUGGCUGACGUGGAGUCAUGGCCUUUAUCCACCCAUCGAUCUCUCUAUCGUUGAAAAUAGAGAAUUUUUUUUUGGCAAGACGGUCCUAUGAUUCUAGCAUUAAUAUAUCCAAUAAUAUCAUAGAAAGAAGAUGACGAAAAAAAAGAGAGAGCAAGCCUCAUAACUAUCCCAAUCAACUGUAGAGAUAUUAUUAUAAUAAAAAAAAUCGUGUUGGUGAUCUUCAUCACUUUUCUCUCAGAAUUGACAAUAUUCCCUCGCUGUAAUAAGAAAGGGAAGGUCAUGGGGCUCUCAUCAUCAAACCACACCAAAAUGGGACCUGCACAGGCUGUCACGAAUGACCACCCUUUUUCCACCGACGCCGGUGAGCACUGAGCAAGAUUCUCAAAGUGGAGGAGAACCAUUUGGAGCCUAAGAAUUUUUGUAAAAUUAUUUAAAAUUUUUAGAUAAUGAAUGCUCUUACUUGUUGGUCUAGAUGAAGUUCUUUUCUCUACCGCUUCUUCUUACGAGCAUCAACAUUUUUUAUUCUGAUUAUUUAGGUUUGGAGCCAUUUAGCUUCUUUUUUCGCAUUUAUUCCUCUCCUUUCUUGAUAAUGUAAUUUAAUUUUGCCUUUCAUCUCUGCUGUAAAUAUGAUUAAUUUCAAUAAAAGCCAGAUGAUUUUUUUUGCCUCCUUUUGCAUCAGUAAAAAAAAUAAAAAUAGAAAUCUUUUAUUAUAGCUAGAGGCUCAAGGUGCCCUGAGGUUAUGCAAGCCCAGGUGAUGGUGCAAAAAAGCUGGGGCGGCCGACCCCCCAGAGGGGGCACAGCGGCAUGACGCCGCUGAUUCGUCCCGCCACCCCAAAUUUGUGACGAGAGAUUCCAACAAACACUUGUCCUUCAUUCUCCACCAACAUCAUCAUUAGCUGCACAUCUCCCCUCCCAAUAUCUUUCUUUGUUUGGUGGCUCAAUUCCGAGACCAAACAAAUAUGCGGACAUUCGGAUUCCGCACGAUGGGAAGGUAGAGAGAGGGCUGCGUCUACUGGCCAUUACAGGGGCCUUGGGCUUCCUAGAUUGUUUUAGACAUAGGCUAUUAUUUGCGUGUUAAACUCGUCGCUACUUUAGCGAAAAGUAUCACGCGUUUACGCUGGCGUGAACUUUAGGAAAGGAGUUUAUGACUGCCAGAUAGGCAUUGGUUAGGCAGCGAAUGCAUGGGAACGGGGAAGAUGACCAAAGCAGCAGCAUUCAUACUGCUUUGGAUCCGCCUCCAUGUUUCCAUAAACCAAAACCAGCUAUGUUGCAAUGUUGAUCUAAACCAAUAACGACAAUAUUUUUCUAUUGUUAGCUGGCAUAACACGAUAUUUUUUUUUUCUUUUUUGGUGAAAUACAAUAUAUGUAUUGAAGCUAUUUUUAUAUUGCUGGAACUACGAUUUAGAAAUGCUAGAAAGCAUGUCCUUGCAUAAGUUGACAACCAUGUGGUUAUUUUGUAUUGUAAUGCAAAUUUUUUUUUGGUCAGCAUUCGCCUCUUGCAUACCAUCGGUUUGUGACUAUUUUUUUUUUGUGCUGAAAUAGAUGAUUCAUACAGUUUUAAUAUGGAUGUAUCCAAUAAAAUCAGAAAAUAGUAAGUUUUGGAGUGCUGUAAACAACUUUAUUUUUGUAACCUAUAAGAUGUCUCCAGAAUAACUCGCUACAUACGAAAUCAUUUAACCUGUAAUCCUAUUUAUCUCUCUAAAAAUAUGUUUAGCCUAAAAGGCUGCACCACAGCUCAUCCUGGAGCAAGAGGUGCCCCAUCCGUCAUCCAAAAUUUGUACAUCAAAUUCCUUAGAUUAGUUAGAUUUGAAUGGUGGGUUACAUCCCUUCAUCACCAUCAUGUUUGUUAUAUAUGACAGGGAAUGAGGACAAAGGGCAUUCAGCAUUCCAAGCACGUCAAGUAAGGGAGAAGGCAAAAACCCAUGAAACCCGUUUUAAGCAUCCUUCCAAAAUCUCGGUAUGUCUUCCCUGUUUCGAUUGAAACCCCGCCCCACGGCAGAUAAUUCGGUGCCUGGGCGCCCUUGUCCUUAUCCCGCACCGCGAGAGAUGACGCGGGCGCCGGGGCCCACGCCCCAGCGACAGACUUCGCCGGCCCGGGCCCACCCCACCGGGUGGCAGGCAGCGCAAAAGUGCUGGGCCCCGCGUCCACCCUCCGGGCCCACACCUGAGGACCGUGCUGCAAACAUAAGACCCUAGUUCGCACCGUCCGAUCCGGUACGAGCGAUCUCUGAUUCGGCGGUGGAGGCGGGCGCGGCAAGGUUCCUGGUGGCGGACGACGGGACUCGGGCGAGGAGGCCAGCUCAGCGAGCAUUAUGGGGUACGGUGAGAGAAUGAGGAAAAAGAGAGGGGUUGCGUCGAGUCCAAGGAGCACGCACGUCAGCGUCUAACUGAAUCGCUUGGGUGAGGGCCCCCCGUGGUCCAUUUUUAUCCCUUGCAAAGCCUGUCACCUUUGCCUUCUUCCAAAGGAGAACCCUGGUCCAUCUUUAUGCCUUGCAAAGCCUGUCACCUUUGCCUUCAUCCAAAGAUGAACACUCGCUUUUAAGUCGAGGCAAAAAGGUAGGCUUGCUUCUCCGGUCCUUGCUGAAAUGAUGCUAAUAAAUAUUUACUUCGUGCCAUCUUUCAGACCAAGCACGUAUUAAAAGAAGCUAAUGGAACCGCAGACUGAGUAGCCUCAAUUAUGGCUAUUUAUUCCAAAGAUGUCUUGUAGAUUGAGGAAAAAAAGUUGCCUUGAACAUUCCGGUACUUGUUGUUUUCUAAUUUUAUUGGAUGUAUCUAUAUCAAAACUGUAUAAAUUAUUCUCUUUAGCAAAAAAAAAAAGACUUGCUUUUUUUAUCCAAAAAAAAAGAUAUGCUUUCUCUAUCUAGGAUGUCAAAUUAAUAAAUGAGGAAGAAGGAGAAGUAGAGAAGAGUUUGGCUUCCUUUCUAGGCCGCGAAUGGAAUGUUUCGUAUGAACAUGCAAACUUCUACGAAGGUUGCUAGCAUGAUCUCAUCACAAUUAUUUAGCUUUUGUUUGAUAGAAGUCUUAUGCUGUCCCUCUUGCUUAUCCAUGCCAAGACAUCACCUUGCAUAUACCUUUAAUGCGACUUUGAGGCAAGGAUGUGGAGAAAGGAUUGCCAACUAUGAUCUCGAUCGUCAUUAUCUUUAGGUUCCAUAUUUUGUCUGACUUGCCAACUUUUUUUUAGCUUGUUCGAGUGUAUACAUCAAUUCUUUAAUUUCCCUUAUGGUCGUUUCUGCGGUGUUCAUUAAGAGAAUGACGGAAGGUAAAGGUAAUACUUUGUACGAUGUAGAAGUGUUAUGGUAAAGUAGCAAGCUACUGAUAGCGGUUCUCAGUUGAAUUAACAGACAAUGCUUGACACCUGUAAUUAAUUUCAAUCCUACUAAAGGGAUUUCUUUUCCUAAAGCCAUAAUUGUAUUCUUCAUUACAAAAUCACCGUAUUGUCUAUAUUACUUAAGUUUGUUGUAAUACUGCUUAUCGGCAGGCAUACAAGGUUUGCCUUACGGUAUGCGACUCGAGUGCUGAUCGAUCUAACCUCGAAAUAUGACUCCACUUGAAUAAUUAACAAAGGAAAUGAAUAUUGCUAAUAUAAAGUUAUCUUAGCUAUCAUCCACCUUUGGCUGGCAUCAACUUAUCCUCUACACAUCAUAACCAAUGAAAUCUAUUUGACACGAACCAUAAUAUUAAUUUCAAGGAACAACUCAUGAUCGAACAAGUGCACGAUAUGGUUCAUCACUCAGAAUUCAAAUGGCAAGUCAUAAUAUAUCAUGAACAGAAAGACCUGUUGGCUCCAAUUGGUGAGACACAAGUUGGCGACAUAAACAUUUAACCGCCCAGAUUCAAUGAAGCACCGUGCGAGCAAACUACCUACCUCGAUGGAGAAAUUAACAUGUGAAUCCCAACGACAAAUAGCCAAGUGUAGCUGCGCCCAAGCAUAAACAAGAAGCAUCAAAACCACGGGCGGCUUGUAGUUCGCCCAACCAAUUGGAGCAACUGGACUGAAACUCGUUUCUUUUCACCCAAAAACGAACCCUAAUGGCCAAAGGCAUUGCAGAAAACACGUAAAGAUGAUAGAAAUAUAUUAAUAGAAAAGGGUGGUGUAGCAUCUGCCGUAUUCUUCCAUCUCUUCAAAUCAAAUCACAUCAAGCAUCUAAAUAACAAGAGAAAGGGAGCCUGGGAGGUCCCACGAACUUUUCCUUCGCUGCACUCCAUUCCAUGAAUCAUUACAGUCGCCCUAGGCUCUUCCUCUAGUGCUGUUCUCAUUAUACCUCGAGAAGGCAUAUCAUACACGCGAGGGCCCCCGGCUGCAAUGGAUAAGUUCAUGGCUAACAACAUCCAAUUACAUUUUUUCCACAGCCAGAAAGAUUCAGCACCCUCAAAGGUGGCAAUCAAAUAAAAUAUGCUUCUGAUCAAGGGGAAAGUAUAAAAUGGAAUACAUGUUUUGUUUAAGAGAAAUUUGUAAAGAUAUCUUUUUGCUUCUUGUAUUAUAAGCUCUUAUGCUGACGAUAGUAACUAGAAUCCCUCUCAUGUUUUGCCAAACUAAAAAUUUAAGUAUGAAAUAGUGCAACAAAGUUGAUAUAAAUAAAUAGUUGCAUUUUAUGGGUUAGUCUCAAUGAAGUAAUGCUUUUGACAGGGGAUUCACUCUUUUAGUGCACCCCUAAGAAAGCUGGUUGCCGCAUGGAGGGGCCUAAAUUAUGCCUCAGUUUACAUGGACCAGUGUUGGGAUUGAAGAUGAUUAUUCUACUACAAUCCGUUUUAUCAUCAAAAUUUUAUUACCAUGCCCAAAAAAGCAACCAAUUUGCUGGUUAGCUUGCCAACAUCGAGAUCUAUUAAGACAAACGAUGAUACAGGGGAUUAUCAAUUCUCUCUCACACCAAUGCUUCUAUAGCUUCAUUUUUACAUCAUUAAUUUAUAAAUUUGGGCCUCACUUUGAUCCCUUCUUUCUGCAAUUUUAAUCAAAUUUAGGCUGGAACCAAGUUAACUAGAGAUAUAAGCACUGAACUAUUGUGGUGCAGGUCUACCUUAUGUUAUUGAGAUCCACAUCUAUCCAAGCUGCUUAAUGGUACUAAACUUAGCACUCCAAUCAUAUGUAGAGAUCUAGAUUUAUAUCUAGAUUAAUGGUACAAAAUUUAGCACCCCAGUCAUGCCUGGAGAUCUAGAUUAUAUAAAUAUAUAUGGGACCAAACCUUAUGUAUCAAAAUGCACAAAAUGCAGCUUAAUGGUACAUCAUGUGCAUAAGUUUAUAUGUAUUAAAUUUGCAGUUUGCAUUAUGAAAGCCAAAUUUAUUUUUUUAUAUAAUAAAAAUAACAAAAAAUAUUAUUCUUAAAAAAAAUCAGAAUCUAAUUUCACUUGUUAAGGUCGAAUAGAACAUACUUUUAGAAAAGAAAAUGAAGCUUAGAAGGCUAUUAUGGAUAAAGUAAAAAUGAAAAAGUUCAAUACCACAUAGUAUAUAUCGAGCUAGUUAACUAUACAAUUUCACGCCUAUCAAAUUAAGCUACCUUUGUAAAGCCACCGUUAUAAAUACCCCUCGCAUCCUCCGCCUACUUUCCCAUCUCCCGAGUCCCAACCCAACGCCUCGUCCUAAAAAGAUCUCUCUCCCUCCCUCCUCUUUUUCAUUAAACGAGAGAGAGAUAAAAAGAAGGAAGAAUGAGGCCGGAAGCCGAGUUGAAGGCGAACGGAGGAGCAGCCAUGGCAGCGCCGCCGCCGGGGCCUCACGCGGCGUGGCACUCGCCGGUGCCGUACCUCUUCGGGGGGCUGGCGGCGAUGCUGGGUCUCAUCGCCUUCGCCCUCCUCAUCCUUGCCUGCUCUUACUGGAAGCUCUCUGGCUACCUCGAGAGCGGUGAUGGCGAUGUCGAGAACCGGGGCGGUGACGGGAAAACCAGCGCCGACCCCGCCGCCAAGCCGCGGGAAAGCUUCGAGCCGCGGAUUGUGGUCAUCAUGGCCGGCGACGAGGAGCCCACCUUCCUCGCCACGCCCAUUUCCAGCCGCGCCGCCGCCGACAGAGCUGUCGACACCGCCGGGAGCGAGAGCGUUGCUGACGGGAAGAAGACGGAAAGCGCGGCAACCGCACUGGCCGGCGAGCCGACACGGAACCACUGGGUGGAGGGCGAGCAGAACCACCUAGGCCAGGGCCAGAACGAAGAGCAGUGAUAUUUUUCUUCUUUUUUUUUUUCUCUUUUUCGUCUUUUUGGUUCGACAGGAUUGGAGGAAAAAAAAACAAAAGAAGAAGAAGAGGAAACUUUUUAAGUCAGGAUUGUAAAUUCUUGAGUUAGAUUGGAAUGGAGAAAGAUUAAUUCUCUCAACUUAUCUGUCUUUUUUUAGUUUUCUACUCAUAAACCUUCGACCUAGAUUUUAUUACUAAAUUAAAAUUUGCAGAACUCGGAACUACUCUGGAGGAAUGAGCCAAAGAAGGCGGGAGUUUCCCAUGCGAUUUCUAUUUAUUUCUAAAAAUACGAAUUCCCGUUUCCCGUGGGUUCAACGGCCCGUUCACAUGAAAAGAAAGAGAAAAGCAUGGCCAAAUUUUUAUUUGGUUAAAAUUUUUAAAAAAUAGAGAUAAAAAAUAACAUUUCCAUAUAAAUAAGAUUUUGAUAUUUUAUAAGAAAAUUAUGGGGAACGUAACAAAAAGCUACUUUCUGGUUAAAAAUUGAAAUACUUUUUUAAAAAAUAUUUUUAAGUUAUCAAAAUUUAUAGAUUUUUUUAUUAGAAGUAUAAAAAAUAUUUUAUAUUAUUUUUUUAAAAAAUAAAUGUCCAUUUUUUUGUAUGAUCAACUUAGUCAACAUUAUUUUUUUUAAAUAUUAUAUUUUUAAAAUUAAAAUUUUUAAAAAUUAUUUUGACGAAGAAUUUUUUUUAUUUGCCAACCAAAUGGCUUUCUAGUGUUUUCUGCCAGUGGCAAGCCGACCUCUCUCUGGCUUUAUCUAUCGGGUUUAAUUUUGAAAUGAAUGGAUGAUUACUUAAAAAGUACGAGAAGAAAAGGGAUAAAGGUAGAAAUACAGAAUUUUCUUUGGCAAAUUGACACGGAGUUAAGCGCUCUACGUGGCGAGUCAUGGUUGGCUCAAAAGAGGCAAAAAAGCUGUGUCAGGGAGGUGUCUCAAACAAACGUCAUCUGGGCGGGGCACCCGAGAGAAAAAAACCCUGUUUUACCUUAUUUUUUAUAAUAUUUUUAAACAAAUUUAAAAAUUAUAGGCUCAUCAUGGAGUCUGUUUCAUAAUUAAUAAAAUAAAAUAAAUAAAAUUAUAUAGGGCAUUCUUUUUUCUAUUUUUAAAAUAUAUUUUUUUAUAGUACAUACCAUACGGUUAAGUAAUACAUAUUUAACAAAUUAUAGUUUAACAAGCUAGUAUAAAUCUUUAGAUCAAUUGAUACAUAAUUUUGAAAAAAUAGUUAUUAUUAAUAUCGAUAUACAAUUUUUUAGCAUUGUCUAACAUAAAAAAAUUAUAUACAUACCAUUUUGUUUGAUUCCAUAAACUCUUGAGUGCAAAGAUCUUAAAAAUAGAAAUUGAUUUAAAAGAUAAUAAAGAGAUUUGAGAAAAGAAGGAAGAUCUCACAAAUGGUAUGGAUGGCUUGAUAAGAUAAAGGAUAGAUGGAGAUACUCGAUGAGAAAGAAAAAGAAUAUUUACAGUCUCUCUUUGUAGACGAAUUUUUUGGCACAUGCAAAUUAUUUUUUAAUUUUUUUGGGUUAUGGAAUUGACUGGGUCUAUUAUUAAUAAGAGUUCUAUCCUAUUUGACUUUUAGAUUUUUCACUUUAAAAUGUAUAUUAGAAAAAAUAUGGUAAAAUAAAAAUUCAUCCUAUGAUAUUUUAUAGUGUCGACCUUAUAUGAUUUUGUUCCAAAAAAAUCGAUAAAAUAAAAAAUCCGUCCAUAUUUCUUUCAUCGAUGCCGGCCCUUCAUCAUUUUGGUUCUGUCACGAUAUUGCGCAUCAAAAUUUUUGCUUGGACAGCUGCACGCCACGUGGUAUGGGUGGGGGCAUGGAGCACCAAUUUCCUUGUGACACGUUGUAUACGCAGCGACGCAGAAAGGUUUUACUGAUAGGCUCGGCCUUUUAGCAUUUUUUUUUAUUUCGUCCAAUCCGUCACUCGCGAGAAGAUGCUUAGAAAUACUUGGGAAGAAUAAGUUCACAUCGGAGGGGUUCGUUGCAAGCAUUACCAUCUCUCUGGCUUUAUAUAUCGGAUGAGAGCAUCACCACGCUUAGCAAUCAUGUCAUUGUUCAAGUCAUGAUUUGCAAACCGAGUAAACACUGGCAGGACUAAAACAUAGAAAUCCUGCAUGCUACCGUCCAUUGCAGUAAUAUUGUGAGGAUCUAUACAGGAAUUUAUUUAGUUUCAUAUCAGUUAUUUAUUAAAAAAAAAUUGGAUACUUAUAUGAACUUAAUAAAUAACUUUCGACUAGCUUUUUUUUGGACGAAAUCCCAAAUUGUGACAAAUAAUAUCAGAGCCAACUUGGCCAUAACCUAAGUAGAUUUAGGAACACUACAUCAUGAAUUUAUAGAGACUGACUACAGACCGAUCGUGGUGCUUGUAAUUAGAUUUGAACCUUUAGUACGACGAAAAUGUCAAAGCUUGAAUGGAAGAAGUAUGUGAGGAUCUGUGUGGGCGUGUGUUUAGUCCUACAUCGAUUAGUUACCAAAAAAUCUUGAAUAAUUAUACAGAACCAUGAAACCCAAAAAAUACUUUCCGACUAUACUUUUUGGACGAGGUCCUAGGUUGUGACAACUAUUGUUGGAUGAGCUCCAUGUGUUGCCAACUAAAAACUUUUACGAGUGAGUAUGAAGCAAAUUAGAUGCAGCAAAUAAUUAAUAUUCUUGUGAGUUCGUUUAGUUGAGGUACAUCAGAUUAUAGGAUAAUCUAGAUUUUUUUGCUAUUUUUGGUUGGUAAAAAAAUUACUCAAAUAUAUGGUAUUAGAAGAAAGAUGACUAUAUUUGAUUGAAGGCAAUCUUAUAUAAAAAUAUUAUCAAAUUUCUAACAAUAUUUUUAAAUAAAUAAUUCAAAUAAUAACAUUUGUUUUAUCAGUCCAUUUGUUGGCCAUUUAUGAUCCACUUACAUAAAUGGUCCACUUACAUAAAUGCUGUCAAUAUUAGUUAUUUUGAAUAUUGAAAUAUAUUUAUAUAACUUAUACACAUAGUUACAUAAAAUAUUGUUUAAUUUAAAUAUUUUUAAAUUAAUUAUACAUAUAUUAUAAAUUAUUUUUUCUAUUAUAAAUAAAGUUUUGUAUGUUUUGGUAUAAAAAUAAAUAUAUCAAUUAUUAAUAAUCAUAUUUUAGAUUUAUUGAUAAUUAAUAAAUUUUUGUUAAUUAUCUAUCAAUAACUAAUAUAUAUUUAUAAAUACAUAUUAAUAUAUUAAAUAUAUUACUUUUUAUAAAAAAAAUAUUCAAUGAUAUAUUAAUAUAAUAUUAAUAUAAUUGAUAUUAAUUAUAUAAUAUGAUUAAUACAAUAUUAAUAUAAAAUAAGUGAGGGCAUUUUUGUCAACAAAUGAUAGUUUUAGAUUACAUCCACUCGGUAAUAUAGUGUGAAAAAAUAAAUACCACUAUUUUUUAUCUUCUCUCUCAGAAAAUUAGAAAUGAGAUUCACUAUUUAUUUUACUAUCUCUCGCAUACACUUUUCAUAUCAAAUAUGGUAAUCUCAUAUGGGCUUUAUUUGUUGACACCAAAUUAUCCACGACAAAACAAGCCCUAAGGAGAAGAACAAGAAGAAUAAAUUAAGAAAGAAAAAAAAAGUAAGGUUCAAAAACCAAUUAAAAUGUUAGUUAAGAAUUAAACAUAGGGUUUUAAUCUCACCAAGAAAGAUAUGUCAUAUCUCUCGUCAGUUCCGACCCAAUCUCCAUUCGAAGAUUCGAUAGGUUGGGUCUCCAAAAAUUGGAUCUGAUGAAAACUCCUAGUCAUACUUAGGUUUUAUAUAUAGUUUUCAAUGCAACUCGACAUGUAUAUCAUUCGUGUCUCAUUUGGAUCUAUGGAAAAUCGAUCCAAUUCAACCUAAACACGAUCCGACUAUAUUCAAAAAUCUGAAUCAUAUAAACCUCGUUCUCCUUUACUCUAGACAUCUUUCCCAAUUAUAUUUUUUCAUUUCAAUAACUACAUAUUCUUUCAUCUAUUUUCAGUCAAUUAUAUUUAAAUGCAUUCACAUGCUCUAUUUGUUUUGUCGACUUCUUAUUUAUAAUGCCCUAUAUAUAUAUACAUGUAUAUUUUAAAAAUUAUAGUUUGUAAACUUAAAAAUGACCAACUACUUGGAUGAAAUUAAAAAAUUUUGAAUAAGAAUUCGAGUUAAAUUAGUUCUAUCUAUUUUUUAUAUUUUUUAGUAAUUUUAUAUUUAGUUAUUGAUUAUUCUAUAUUAGUUAUAAAAAAUAGCUAGAAUUUGACUACAAAAUCCGAUCUUACAUGUUCCGACCCGAAUCCAAAUAUUCUAAGUCGGAUCGAAGUCAUAUUUACCUCGACCCUACCCAAAUAAUCUAUCAAGUCUAAAAUCAUUCACAUCAAUCUGAUCUGAAGUGAUCGGUUAAUGAGUUGGCUCGAGCUUUAGAAUCAUGAUCUGAAUAUUAAAUUGGAUAUGGUUGGGGUAAAAAAAAACCCCUCCAGCCUAGGUUUGGUUUUUACAUGCUCACAUGUAUCCAUCGAAUACAGGAGGACCACAAAGCUGGAAAACGGCCGGUUUCCAUUGACUUCAAUCUGGUCUCAACUGUAUUAGCACGACAGGGGGUGCAAACGUUAACAUCCGGCCACGUCUGCAUGACUCCGCCAGCUACAUUAUUUGGUAAAGUUUUGCUGGUGAUCGAGGUCACGGUUGGUUUCAAUCAAUUUCCAUAUAAAUGCGACCAUGGCCACCAGCAACUACAAUUUUUCCAGCCAAAGCUAUCGAAAACGACUGAUCGCGCUCUUCCUUAUUUCCUGAUUAAAACCAUACUUUGCAUUUUGCUCUCAUCAUAAUGAGGCGAGAAAAGCUAGGCCACAGAGUUGGCGUAAAAUCAGGGGAACGGGGAAAGAAAUGGGUACUGCUUCGAUUUGGACGCGGGGUGGCGAAAAAGAAUUAUUAGAGCUUGUGGCCGGCAGAACGGUGAUGUGUGAGAACAAAAACGACAGAUAAAGUACCACGAUGGAAUAAAUUUUGUUAUAAAAAUAAUAAAACAAAACUACCUCGCCGUCCGUAGGAACCGAAUCCACGACCACAUGGUUAAAAGCCAUCGGCUGUACGCGCUGCCACGGAGCAUCGUACUGAUAUUUUCUAGAUAUAUUAAUAUAACUGACCGAUGCGACAAAUAACCAAGAGAUGCUCCUUCAAUGCUGUACUGGCUCAUGCAUUAUCUUUUCAAAUAUAAAAAAAUAGUUUAAACAGUGAGAUCAUAUUCACAACCAUACGGCAUAUAUGGUUGCACCUUUCUCGAUAAGCCAGCUAUACCUUUCAUCUGUUGCUCGUAAAUGCCAAGGAUGCUUAAAUACUCACCUGACAAAAGCAACCUAGUCGGUGAGGUUUGAGGGGCGGAGGGCCCACGAGGUCUGUUGUCGAGCGAGCUCUUUAUCAGAGAGUGGAGAUUAUUAAAUCGAUUUAUUUGUGAUGGCUAGGAACAUCUGAUACUUCCGUUUCGCUACUAUAGUGCCCAAAUUUGUUCUUGUUUUUUGGAAGCCUCCACUCUCUGGCCAUCUAAAAGUAAAUUUUGAUGGAAGCGUACCCGCCGUCGGUGAUUGGGCGUGAUCGGCUUUUGUGAUAAGAGACCAUGGUGCUAAGCUGGUUGCGGCUGGGAGAUGUCGGUCCUUCGACGACUCGGCUUUUGGGCCGGAGCUUAGGGCAGCAUGGAAGGAACUUUUCUAUGCGAGACAUGUGUUGCAGGCUGGCUGAAUCAUUUUGGAGGGGGUCUCUGCUUCGCUGAUCGCGCAUCUUCGGGAGGAGGGGCAGGACGAGGUGGAGCACUCGCUUCUGUGUGACAUGCAACGGAUGUUACGGGAGUGCCGGGCUAUCCAAGUCAGGCAUGUCCUUCGAGAGGCGAAUCAAGCUGCUGACUGCGUCGCCUCGUUUGCUGCUCACCACUCGGGAGAGUUUCUUCUCAUUUCCUUUUGCUUUCUGUAGACUUUUUGCUUCUGAUGUAGCAGAUUGUGCUCAUGUUAAAACAGCAUGAGCUGCCGUUGCACCAAAAGAAAAAAAAGAAGCAACCUAGACUUAACCCCCCCCUUCUUUUUUUUUUUGACAAAACACCAAUUAUAAUGCUUAUUGUUCUUCUUAAAAUGUGGUCAUUGUUUGCCUGAAAUCUAUCUCCAAACAUGCUAUAAAUAAUUAGGUCAAUAUAAAUUCGAAUAAAACUUAUUGAUUUGGUUUCAUGAAUAUAUACAAGCAAAACGACUUACUUUAAGGCUGGAGCUUAUUUUUUUUCCUUCUUUCUUUUCUUUAAUUUUUUUUCUUAAUUUUUUUGAAAGUAAGGGAGGGGAGACCUAGCCAAGUUGAAUUACAUGAAUCCAAAUACUUAAAGUACAUUAUUUUAGAUGCAAACACCUAGAAAUAAGAAUAUAAAUGAAUGACUUCCAUUCUAACUAUUUGGCUGAAGAGAGUUAGGAAUGCCUCAAUCCUCCAGAAUCUAAUUAUGACUAUUCUUUAUUAUUCAAAUCUCAUUCCGAUUUUAAUUCAAGUCAUAAAUAAGUGCAUAGAGAAAUAUAGCAAAUACAAUUACCGUUUCAAUCCAUUCUAAUUUUAUUUUCGAUUUCGAUUGUGAACUAAAAAAAAAAAAUUUCUUCUGUUUUUCCUUUUCCUAAUAUCAGCAAGAAAAUAAAAAUAUUGCAUGCCACCUCUUUCUCAUACGGUUCCACAUAAAGUGCUUUUUUUAUUUUUGUUUUUAAGAUUUAGGGGUAUAGGAUGGUAAAUGACCGAGCAUGGAUCUGAUAUCCAUCCCCGGUCUAUGCUAGCAUCUCGCAGUUUUCUUUUGUGCAUACAAAUUAAUUAUUUUUUGCUAUAGAGAGAUGAUUUGUGAAGAGCUAUAUAUAUAUAUUCGAAUUGAAUUUGGAACCUAUUUUACCAUUAUCUAUACCCGCUCUGAAUUUGCAAUGGAUUAUAUAAAAUCCACUCCAUUAGGUUCGGAUUGAGUCGAGUACUCGUUGGAGCGGAGUAAGUUGCCGCUCCUAGAGAAGAGAAGGUGCUCGUUGGAGCGGAGUAAUUUGCCACUCCUAGAGAAGAGAGAUCACCUGGAUCGCCAGUGUAGUUCCAACGAGAUAAAAGAAGAUCUUUAUAUCUUUUAUUAUUAGAUAGGGAUCAGGGUGCUUGACCGCCUUGCUCUCCUUCUCUAAUCUCCUGUUUCUUUUCUCUCCAUCCCUUUGUCUCUUUCCCUCCUGAUCCAGCCGAUCUGGUGAAUCAUUUCCAAACAGCCCUUAAUGUCUAGAAACUGCUUAGAAAAAUUGAUAGUGUUACUGGAAUUUGGACCCGGAGGCGACCACUGGGCCAGGAAGGAGGAGCUCCAGGAAGGCUUGGCGAAUGACGGCGACCCGGCAAUGUGCGGCGUCCUCCGGAAGACCUACAAGAGGCCGGUGGCCGGGGUUUCCGGCGCCGGCCAUCCGAUGCUUAAGUCAGAGGGGGCAAAUGUAUGAAUGAACUGUAGCCGUAAAUAGUCAGAACUUUUAUCCCUCCUUCCUUAAAAAUGGAGAAGUUCUCCUUUUAUAGAGAGGGCUGGGUUACCUGUGAUGUGACGGGGCGAAGGCACUGCCGUAUGGUUGGACGUACAGUGGGAGUUAAUGCUCGAUCACGUAAAUCAAUGCUGUCUUCGUAGGAGAUCAAGCUUGAGUCUUUGAAUUACUACGGAACCAUACUGUCGUUUAUGACCAAGUAGGUUUGCCGUGUGGAGCUAAACAUUCGUAGACAACAGGAGCCAUGCGUCUUAAUUGUUGAGUGAGCCAUACGAGCCACAUGCCUGCAGAGGUCACAUGCAUUGAUUAUCGAGUGAACUAGGCGUUCCGAGAGGCCAUACGCUUUAAUUGUUACGUGAGCUAAAUGACUGGGGAGGCCAUACGCAUCGAUUGUUAGUAAGGAUAGGGCACGAUUCGUGGGAGAAUACGAUAAUGGCGGUUUACCGCUCGAAUGCUUCCUAGUCGGAGGAGCCGCUUGGGCACUUUCAAGCCCUUCAGGAUCCACUCGGCCACCCCUUACUCAGAGGGAUGCCCGGUUGCCUCUUGCUCGGAGGGAUUCUCGGUUGCCUCCUGCUCGGAGGGAUGCCUGGUCGCCUCCUGCUCGGAGGGAUUCUCGGUCGCCUCCUGCUCGGAGGGAUUCUCGGUCGCCUCCUGCUCGGAGGCAACCUUUUUCCCCCAAACACAUAGAAUCUUAAAUAUUAACUGAAUGGAACAUAUUACCUCUCGAGAACCGCCUCUCUGUAAAAUCUGGAUACAAAGUUUGAUCUACUUACAUUGCAGCUAGUGGUGUAUCAAAUAUGUCAUAGAAUUAUAAUAAAUUUGAGCAUGUCGUGCUAUAUAAUUUGAAUUGUUGUUUGUAUAGAAGUGCCUAAUAUAUCUUAUUUUCCCCCUUUUAAUUGCAAAUCAUAUCUUGUUUUUGGUAGAUAAAUUAUAUCUUUAUGAAAUUUUUAGUUUAUCAUUCAUUUCCUGUUUAUUUCGGUGAGCAUUUAUUUCCUUCGAAAGUUUGUAAGCAGUUAUGUAACAGGCCGGAUGAAUCUAUCUUUCUGAUGGGCCUUCCGAGCCACUUUGCUGUGGACGGCGAUUGAGACAAAAUCUAGGCCUGGACUUCUAUUCGGGAACUGUUUGAAAGGCAACCACUUGGGCCGCCAUAGCUUCCAUUCUCUCUCGGAUGCGUUUUUUCUAUGCUAAAUAUAAUUAGAUAAACGGAUGUAACAUUUAUGUGGCGACAAUUUCCAGAAUGAAGUCUGUCUACAUGCAUCUACUAAAAUGUUAGACGUCCGAAUCCUAAUCUCUUUUCCAAAUAAUUACAUCUGUAAUGUCUGUUUGAGUGAGAGAAGUAAAUUUUUUUUUUUUGAGGAAAGGAGGGAAGGAGCCCUGCUCGAUCUUAUUAAGUAGAUGAAAUCGCUACAAGGGUAGAGAGAAAAGAAAACAAAAAAUACAAAGUAAACAAAUAAAAGACAAGUUAAAGUUAAAAUUACAUACCUUUCUUUCCUUUUACAUGAUAAAUCCAUCUUCGCAGCAUUUGAGCUAAGAUUGAUGAUCUGAUCUUGAUUGCUGCCAUUAUUUCUUUAAAGGUCCGGUUGUUCCUUUCAAUCCAAAUUGACCAUGGGAUGAUGGCUAGAAUGAUCCAUCCGAAGGGAAGUUUGGAUGGUGAGAGUGCAAUAAUUAAGUCAUCCAGAAUAUGAGGGGCAGAUCAACAAAUCUACUUACAUAUAAACUAAGAAAUACAUAUGAAGAAAAAUUCAAUCUCAGCAAUGUGUUCACAUGGUAUUCUCAUCCUCUACCCGAUUUGCUUUGCAGAUCUUCUUCCUUGCUCUCUCUAUUAGGAUGGAUGCCUAGACACAGUAAUGCUCAGCUUUCGAUCUCCUUAUCUCUAAGGAUAGAGCUAUUGGUGCAUUGAAUUUUUCCUUUGGAGCAUCCUUGGACAUCGAUGCAGUUAUUAAGGAGAGGGGCAUUUGCACAAGAAAUUAUUGGCAUGAUCCUUCUUUCAACUUAUAAGGCAUGGCAAUUAGCUGGUAGGGAUAUUACAAAGAAUCUUCUUGAAUUUAUCAUAGAUAGCUCAUUUUUCUUCUAAAUUUUUAAUCUUUUUUCAUUUUUUAUCUCUUUGUUCUUUGAUUAAUUUAAUAAUUUGACCAUACCUGCUCUAAAAAAAUAUAAAAAAAAUCCUACUAAUAGUCAGUCUUAAAAUGCUGACCCUCCAAUGAUUAAUCUCACUUGUUCCAUGAAUUGCUGUAAGUGAAAUCAAAUCCGUCCUCCCUGUGGUGAAAUACAUUAGUGAGGAAUCUUAUGCAUGUCCUCCAAGAAACCAGAGUGGAAUUGGGCUGGCCAAAUAAAUGUUCACCCAGCUGGAUCUCCUCUGAAACCAUCUAAUAGGACAAAAAUCUUUUAGGAAAGUGCGUUUCCCAGUUCGUUUCUCGUAUAUAACUAUGUCAAACCAAGGACAGCAGUGGUGCCAUGCGGACCAAUCUAAGAUUCCGUUCUUUUGUUACUGGAUUCUGACAGCGUAUCCGACCAGAGAGGUCAAAUCCAUCGCUAAGGCAUCCACGUGGCAGAAACUUAUAUUUAAGUACAAAAAAAAUUCACGAAUCCUCCGACGGCCUGCGACGGAUCAAGCAGACGGGAACCCGCUGCCGUUCCGGAGCGUCUUCCGUCCCCAUUUGUACACGUGUACAGCAAGGAGGCGGUCAUUACCAUGUUUGGUAUCUGAAGCUUGACUCUCGAUCUCCUCCAGAGCCGGCGAAGGGCGGCCAGCGUGCUCUCGCGAUGACCGGAACGCCCUCGGCCCGGUUUAAAAAUACGAACGCGUACUCUGUCCCAUCUCCAUCUCCUGUACUUGAUGGCCAAGAGAUGAGACACCAGAGAGCCAAACUGUGGUAGCUCUGGCGAUCACCAGCGAAGACGACGGUGGUCUCGAUGGGCUCGUCGAUGAGCUGGUGCUGUGGUGCCAAGAGGGUCGAUCAAGGGUAAGUAGGGGUGUUGAACUCAAAGUUUCAUUGAAUUAUUACGGUACGUGGUGGAGGUCUCUCAACUGUGUCCAAUUUUUCUGGGCUUAGAUUUGUAAAUGGAGCAGCUAAUAGUUCAUGGAGGAUAUUUACCUACAAGGAGCUAUAUGCAGCCACUAAUGGAUUCAGCGAGGACAAUAUGCUCGGCGAGGGUGGGUUUGGAAGCGUUUACUGGGGAAAGACAACUGAUGGGCUUCAGGUAAUUGGGGCUCUCAGUUUUGGGCCUAAACUUGAUGUUAUCAAGAAAUUUGUGCUGUAAUUUGUACACGUAGCUCUAACUUGGUUUCUUCUUUUCGACCUUGUUUUUGAAUUGAGGCUAUAUAGAUAGCUGUGAAGAAGUUGAAAGCCAUGAAUUCGAAAGCUGAGAUGGAAUUCGCAGUAGAGGUUGAGGUCCUUGCAAGGGUUCGACAUAAGAACCUGCUUGGUCUUAGAGGUUAUUGUGCUGGAGCGGAGCAUAGGCUUAUCGUCUAUGACUACAUGCCCAAUCUGAGUCUGUUGUCCCACCUCCACGGCGAGUUCAGGGGUGAAGCGCAGUUGGACUGGAAAAGAAGGAUGAAUAUCAUACUCGGAUCCGCAGAAGGACUGGUGUAAGUUUCUCUAAAAUACCUUGCUUGAGCAAAGAUUCGUACAAUAAUUUUACUGCUUGUCAGUGUUGUUCAUGCAUGAAAGCAGAAACUAGAAGAUAAGUUGUUGAGCGAGACCAAUUUUAGGAGAACAUAGGCAAAAAUUUCUCUUUUGGCACUGUAUAUUUUUACAGUGAGCUAUUGCAGGAAACAAUUCAAGUGUCUAACCCACGGCCUACGCAAAGAUUAACCGAGCUUAAAGGGUGCGAACCACAAUAUUUCCCGGCUUCAAUUUCAUCCUGUUUUAACUUUAUAAAACCUCUUAGAGCUCUUGACAUGAUAUCUGUUUGCAUGGAUUUAACUUCAACCACUUGGGUUCAAAUCGAGUGAGUAAUUGGAAGCCCAGAGAGUUGGCGUUAGGUUUGAGCAUGCAAUUCAAUAAAACAUUGUACUCGACCCAGUUUUAUCCCUGUCCAACCCAAUGAUCGGCUGGUUGCGACGAAGUCAGAAUUGGGCCUAGGCAUUGCACGGGCUACCAACAAUCCUGGACCCGACUAGGCUGGAUUCCUGGUCAUCCUGCUUAUGACCUGCACCAGGCAACUUGUAUAUAUGUGGUCGAUCUCUCAACAGCGAAAUUGGUGAUAUUUAAUGAACCCUUUGGGUUCAGCGGAUUAUUGGCGGUGCAGAUGAUUGCUACCUCUUGAUCCGAAACAUCCGAGCCAUGGUCUAUGGUGAGGUGGCUUUCCAGGCUAUGCAUGUUUACAGAGAGGCUAACGAAGCUGCGGACUAGAUAGCCUCAUAUAUAGCCAAUUACUUCUGGGUUGGGAAGAGUGAGCUGCCUGGUGCGCUCUGAAAUAUGCUGUAUUUUUACUUUUUUUGGAUGUAUCUGUACUAAGAUUGUAUGAUUCAUCUGUCUCAGCCAAAAAAAAAGAAAAAAAAAAAGAAGAACCCACGCUACAAUUUCUCCUGCAGAUGACACCUGAUUCAUUUCUGCCCAAUGUGGCUGAAAAAGGCCAAAAAUUAAUUUAGCUAAUUUUGAGAAAAAAAUUAAAAGAUCAGACGAAACAAACUUGAUGCAAGAGCUUUGGUAUUUCAGGUAUCUGCACCAUGAGGUGAAACCCCACAUCAUCCACCGGGACAUCAAGGCGAGCAACGUUCUCCUGGACUCCGAGUUUGAGCCCCUGGUUGCCGACUUCGGCUUCGCCAAGCUCAUUCCCGACGGGGUAAGCCACAUGACCACGAGAGUGAAGGGCACGCUGGGUUACCUCGCCCCGGAGUACGCCAUGUGGGGCAAAGUCUCCGAGAGCUGCGACGUCUACAGCUUCGGCAUCCUCCUCCUCGAGCUCGUCUCCGGCCGCAAGCCCAUCGAGAAGCUCCCUGGCGGCCUCAGGCGCACCAUCACCGAGUGGGCCGAUCCCCUCAUCUCCAAGGCUCGCUUCCGGGACCUCGUCGACCCGAGGCUCCGCGGGGACUUCAACGAGGCCCAGCUCCGGCGAGUCAUCGAGGCCGCCGCCCUCUGCGUUCAGGGGGAGCCCGAGAGGAGGCCCGACAUGCGUGAGGUAGUGGCGAUCAUCAAAGGAACGGCGGCCCAGGGGGAGGGAAUGAGGAUAGAGAGCAUCAGGUAUAAAGAAGACCUGAUGGCCAUGGACCAGAACAGCGAUGAUGAUAUAGAUGCUUAUGCUUAUGAUGUUGAUGAUGAUGAUGAUAUGAGAGGUGGGAAGUUUCGAAGGGAGAGCAGUGUUUAUGGGGUGUUCGGGAAGAUGGAUGUGCAGAAGAUGGCUGAUCCCUACGUGGGCUAUGGGGGUAGGAGGGAAAUGGUGCAUGGUUGAUGCAUGGGACGUAGCCAAGUGGUGGAAUGGAUGUUAUCUCCUCGUUGGACUUGUUGCCUGUACUGGUUGAUGGUCUUUUUAUCGUGUGGGCCGGUCGUUCUAAUAUUUGAAGCACUGAACUGUAAUUUUGAUGUGCAGGCAAGGUUUAGUGGAACACCCUUGUCUGUAUUGGUACAUUGUGAAGGCGAUUAAUAAAAUGUGACAUGUCACAGGACAUUCUUCUUAUUUUAUUCGAUUGAAGGAAAUACUAGUAAUUUUAUUAGGUGUGCUAUAAGAUGUUUUUUUUCCUUUCCAAUAUAAUUGCAGGAAUAUUAUAUUUGAGUCGGAAGAAAUGGUUUGAACCUCUUAUUUUUCGAACCGAGGGAUCCAUGAAUCGGAAUCUUGAUGCAUAUAGAUACAAAUAUUUCAAUAAAAACAAAAUUUUUUAGAAAUAUUUGAAAAAUUACAUUUUUGAACAGGAGAAUCAUGUUCAAAUAAUGCUCAAUCGAUCACAUAUGAUAAAAGAACUGUAUAAUGAGAGUAGUUUUUUUCUGAAUAUUCCAAACUCUCCAAACCUUAGCGAAGGUUAGAUUCGGUCCUAGGCCACUUGAUCUAAUCGCCAAGGGUUUUACGAGCUGGUGCAUGUACUGCUUCAUACGGUGCUUUUUCCUUACCAAGCAUUGUUAAAUCUAAUGUGACUCAAAGAUAUAAGCCCCGUUUGGAUGUGGGUGUCGGUUAUCCACCCAUGACUCAAAACUUCUUGUGAGGGAAAGUGUCGCAUUUGGGAGAACAAUUCAGAUCUUUGGAAGCUAAGCAAUUCAAAAUAUCUAAGUUUUAAACAUAAUAUAAACAUCUCUCUAGUCUCUAUCAUAACUUUUUCUCUCAAAAAAUCAACCCGCUUUGAGAUCUGUACAGGCAGAGGAAAGAAAGAGGUUAGUGCUUUGAGAGCUGUGCGAGUCGAGAUCUAACGGUUCAUGUUUUCUUUCGCGCGAAAGAGACAGCCACCCGAUGUGAAUAAAUAGCGUGGCCUUACCACUGAGGUGGCAGCAUGGUUGGAACGGCGCUGAGAUUCUACUGAAGUGGCUCAGGUUCGAAAUGCGCGGACGUCGAUUAAAUGCGGAACCAGAUGCCUCUCGUCUGGUUUAUCCGAUGGAGUUCCCAUCUGGUCUGCCGGUAUUUAGGUAGUAUUGGUGUGACGUACUCACACAGGGAUAGAACUGCCAGGUGUUCCAUCAUGGGUGAAGAGGAUAUGAGUAAAAAAUAUUUUAUCCGUAUCGAACAUUCUUCAGUGGAAGACCGAAAGUUGUUACACGGUUGAGGCUCUCCUCACCCCCUCUCUUCUCUUUUCCAAAGAAAAAAAAAAAUAACGUUUUCGCUUGAUCCAAAAUAUUGAAUCCUUGAAUACUUUCCCACGAUUUCCGCUCUCUCGCGAAAAUUCACGCGCGCUUCCCUUCUCUCUGGAAGCCACUGUGACCAUAGAAGAGGUGAAGGUAUCGAGUUUUCUAGCCGCAUCCACGCCCUACUUUCGCUCUGCCUCUGUUGAUUUGGGAACAGCGAUUAUUUAGGGUUUGCGGAUUCCCCCAUGGGAGUCCGAGAAAAACCCUUCCUUGAAUUGAUCUCUGCCUCCUCUCAUCUCUAGCGGCAAAUUCCUCCCUUGCUCCUCUUUAAUGUGAGCUCGGGGCAGUCAACGGCAUGGAGGGCGUCGCCGAAUCGGAGCGGAAACUGCCGUUGGUCCCUUGCUCUUCGAAGGACAAGAAGGUAUGACCUGAAAUACAUUUCAUGCACUUCUUCUGAUGGAUUACGACUAAUCUUACAAGAUUUUAAGGUAGCUGUGAUGGUUUCAGAUGCGUUUAUGCUGUCGAUUAGCUUGUGUUAGGUUUAACUCGCGUUAUCGGACCAAAGUUCGUAAUUUGGUGGUUUGAUCCCAGUUCCCGAUCGAUAGGCUGCAUAUAAUUUGUCUCAAUUCUAUACUGUGGCUUUCCUAUAGAGUCCAUUAUUUUGUCGUCCGGUGCAUCAAACAUAGAAGCAAUUCUUUUAUUUGCUGCAUUGAUAUCGUCUUUCCUUAUGAGUUUGCAUCGGUGUACGUUAAGUGCUAUGUUCUGAGUAUUAUGAAUUUUCCCUUUUAAUGAAAGCAUAUAAAAUGAUAUUGCAAAGGUUUUGGAGCACUCUUGAAUGUUGUUGAAGGAAAAAAAGGGAUGGAUUACACGAUAUUGUUCUCAAAUCCAUGUCUUCGACAUGGCGCAUGCAUUGUGUUGCCACGGGAAGCAUAUAAAGAUAGGAUUUACAUCAGAAAAACCAAGUUAACAGACAUGUAGUCUCUUUCCCAAAAAAAUGAUCAAGCCUAAGCACCACAAAUUGUCAGUUGGAUUGAUUAAGGGAAUGACGGAAGUGUGCCCCAUUGGUCAUACCCUGAACUUGAACAUUGCCUUAAGAUCUUCUCCUUUCAAAAAACGGUUAGGGUGGAACUUUGGGCCUGCAACAUGUAAUAUUGUCUAGUAAAUGGCAGGGCUGUCAAGGAACAUUUGAUUGGUAGUAGAUUUGCAAUAUCCGGGCCUGGUGGUUUCACAGGUCCUCACAAGGCAUUGCUCGAUUGGAAGCUCUGAUGGGAGGACUGUUGGGGAAACAUAUAAUGUGGUGAAGUAAUAAGAUUUGUUUGUUCUCCUUGAUUAGAAAAGCAAGGUAAAUGGUUUAGCUAUAAAUCUAAUUGGUACCUCCUGAAUGUUUACUGGUCCUUUUAUCUUUUAUUCUAACAAUAUUUAUUUUUUAUGGAUGUCAUCAUUUUACUUUGUCUAAAUUGAUACAUUUCUCCCAUGUUAGAUUCUUUUACUUUAUCGAAAUUGAUCUGUGUGCCAUGGUUUUCGGAUAACAAUCUGUAUGCCAUGUGGGAUUGUACAUUUGACGAUGAAUUUUUCAAUAUCAUUGCUCUUGCAUGUUCUAUUAUUGGUCUCGUUGUGCUGUGCCCACUCCCAAGGCAAAGGAUAGUAUAAGCUAGCUUAACAGUUGAAGACUGAACUGCUCGUUUAAUUUGUGCUAUUAUUGAUAGUACAAGCUGGCUUAUCACACUUGAAGACUGAACUGCUCGUCUAGUUUGUGCUAGUAUUACUGUUUUACUUGAACUUGAAUAAGAUCAGAGAAAUAUUUUUUUAAUCAAAUAAUCAAACGGUGCUUCUAUCAAACAUCAAACCAGGAAUUGAAGUCUUGUUUCUGUAUUUUACAAAACUUAAUCUUCCAAUAAUACUGAUCAUGGAUGUCUAGAACUUGGGAUUGCUUAGUUUAUCCUGCUACUCUUAAUUUUGAUGUGUGUAUUCGUGCUUAUUUCUUUUUUGAAUGCAUGAAACUUCAACCUUAUCUAUUCUUAUAAAGAAUCAACCACAUCUGCUUAUUAUCAGUUGUCAGGAUGUUUGGGAUGGUUCUUUUUUUUUUUUUGUUGCAAUCAACUUCAGCACAAGCCAAUGAAAAUAUUCUGCUAGAAUUGAUGCAGUUUACAUUGAAAAUUUAAUGGUUCAGUUGCUUUACUGAAAGAGAUUUUCAAGGACAAAUUUGUUAGGGCCCAAUUUCUAUGCCUAUUGUCUCAUACACUUUAUUGUGAAGGGCAAACAAACAUCCAAGGUUCCAAUUAGGAUUGGCGAUCGUGCAACUAGUGAUGUAAUUGUCAGGCUAAGGACCGAUGAAGGGCGUGAUAAUUGGUUCUACUGCCAUUCGCAGAUUCUCGUAGAGAAGAGCAAGUACUUUGCAGAUCGCCUUUCUGAGGACUGGCCAACAUGCCAGAUCCUUGAUUCUCGAAAUUGUGUUGAAGUAUACUGUCGAGAAGUGGAGUUCAACUUUCAUGUCAGUGCCCUCCGGCUCCUCUACGUAACAGAGCCACACACUUGGCAUGGUGUAAGGAACACACUUGGCAUUCUCCAGGUUGCUGACCACCUUGGCUGUCACCAGAUGGCUCGUGAUUGUAUUGACUACCUGGAAGCUGUCCCCUGGGAGGAGGCCGAGGAAGAGGAGAUAUUGAGGACCAUCCCUUGUCUUGGUUCGCAAUAUGGGCAGAUCCUUGCACGCCUUCGGCCUGUCGACCCAACAGCGGUGCUUGGGAUUUUCAUCUCUGCCAUCCGUUUUGCUACAUCAUCACCCCCUCCAUCAAUGCGAGAGCUAAAGUCUUCUGCUCAGGAUCAGCUUGAGUAUAUGCUCACUGAGGAUGACGAUGUCCCUAUUCUGGCCUUCGACAAUGAGGUUAUGAAAUUUGAAGUCAAGAAUUGUGUGAGGGAUCUUUUAAACAGAUUCAAUCACCUGAUAGAAUCUUUCUUAAGCACAUCUCCAGACAUGAACAGGAUGCAGGACCUGCAAUCCCUUCUGUCUGACAUCUCAUGGAUUUGUCAGAUUUUGAGUAAGAUGGAAAUGAUGAAGGAACUGAUUCAUUAUUGGGUGGACGCAUCUGUUGACAUAAUAAAAGCCAUUGAGCAAGUGAGUACAAAUGUUGACAUGCUGGACGCCAGAUUGAAAGUGGUUGAAGUGGCCUCCAAGGUUUUGGAGGCAAUAGGGUUCGGGAAUAUCAUACUUCCAACUGCAAAGAGACUUCAUGUGGUGAAGGUUUGGCUUCCAUUUGUGCAGAGAACAAGACCUUUGGUGGAGCAAGUUCAACCUAAUGGCGAGGAAGUGUUAUCGGUUAGGAUAGACAGUGAAAUCUGGCAGAGCUUGGAAUCAGCUUUUGUUUUGAUCGUGCUUACCUUGCCAUCACAGGACCAGGCAGAGAUACUGGCAGAAUGGCUGAGGUCCGAGCAUGUCCGAUACCCAGACCUGACAGAGGCAUUUGAGGUCUGGUGUUAUAGGUCUAAGGUUGCCAAGAGGAGGCUUGCAUCAUUAGGUGGUCCUGGCACUAUAAGUUAACCCUCAUAUUUCUCCAUUAUUAUCCCUUUUUUUUGUGGUAAGCACUCCAUUAUUAUAUCAUACACUUCAUUGUGAAGUUAUGCCUUCACAGAUGAGCUGGACGGGAUGUCAUGUACAUGUCCUUAAUAUUGUUCAUGUAAAUUUUCCAUUUUAUAUUAAAUUGGUUCUCUUCCAGGAAUUCAUCAGAUAAUUAAAAUUUCUUUUUCAUUCUGUAUGUUUCAGCAAUGUAUUAACUACUCAUUGUAUUUGUUGUAUUGCUAUUAAAAAAUUGAGCACAUUAAGGAUGUUUAAGUGGUUGGAGGCAGGGCGUCUCUUCUACAAUGCCAACCAGUUAUGUUGUCAUCUUUUUCAUGUGAGGAAAUUUGGUGACAUAUCAUCACGGNNNNNNNNNNNNNNNNNNNNNUUUUUUCUUUUCUUCUCUCUCUCUCUCUCUCUCUUCUCUCUCUCUCUCUCUCUCCUUUUCUUUUUUGUGGUUUUGUACAUAUAUUUUCUAGUGAACAAGAAAUUUAUGAUCAAAGGCAUGUCAAGGUGGUGCUCCCCAGAAUGUCAUGAUGCACGUAUCUUUAUUUUUUCUCUCCAAGAAGUUAGUUUGCAGCAUGUCAUUGGACCUUCAUCAGCACUGGUCUACUUCCAUCAUGUAAAGUUCCACUGGAAUAACGAAAUCCUACUAAAACUAAAUGGUGUAGUCAUCUCAUCAUUACCACUCGAAACUUAUUAUUGGGCCUAGUCAAGUAGAAGGAUAUCUUUCCUCAAAUCCUUCCAUUCCCUCCCUUCUUGCACCCCUCUUGCCACCUCAGUGGUAUAAAUGAAUAAAAUACCAAAGCCUCUCAUUCUGUCAGGAGGUGGAAUCCCUCCACGGUUAAAGGCUAAUCAGUGAUUUAUGAACCUUUCCAUCACCUCCUUGUCCGCAUGCUUUGGCUUCAACAACAAGAUAGAAUCAAUCUCUGAGUCUUUGCUUCCACCCCAAACCAAACCACUCACCAACCAGGCCAUUAUACUGUGGAGGCUGAAAACAGCGGUGAGAAGGCCAUCUCUCCCUCCAUCUAUUAAUGAGACGAUUCAUUUCCUCUUCCCUCCCUCCCUAUUCUGCUAUGCUUCUUAAGCAAGUCAGUUUGAAUGACAUCAAACAGUGGUCUCCACUACCCACCUCUUCCCAUCUCCAUCCAUGCAAUUCUCUAUUCUACAUAUUUCAAACUUCUUUGCGACAUGGCAUCCCUCGUUCGGUCUUAGGAAAGCAACAGGUCUAAUCCUCUGCUUCUCAAAUGGAUUCCAUAGAGGAGCAUUCUCUUUCCAGUAAAAUACUCAUUGGUAUCUCACUCGACGCACGAGCUAGCAGUGAGCUUCUUUCGUGGGCGGUUGGAAAUGCAGCUCAUCCAAAUGACACCAUUGUUGCCUUCCAUGUUCUCGGUUGGUUUAGAUCGAUAUAUCCUGUAAAAUCUAGAGCUUUAUGUCGGUAUCUUAGAUGCUAUAUAUCUGUUAAAUUUUCUGACAGUUAGAAUGCUCACUAGAUAGUUAGAACACUACUCCUAUUUCUAACUUUGGUUUGUAUCAGUUGGGAAAGGAGAGAAGAAAAUUAACUCAGAUAAGACUAGACUGCGCCAAGCGAAGAACUUUGUGAUUUCCAUGCUUGGAGAGUUUGUUGAUAUCUGUGAGACUAAGCAGGUAAACUGUUGCAAAAUUUGUCUAUGCUGCAGUAGGUUAUGCUGUGGAAUCUGGCGAAAGCGUUGUAAAAUGUUCUCAUUUUUUAGGUGACGCUGGAGGCAAAGGUUAGGAGCAGCUCGAGCAUUGGAAGGGGUCUUACCGAUGAGGCAGCAUCGAUCGAUGCCAACUUUCUUCUUGUCGGUGGCUCGAGGAAUUCAUCCCAAAGGUGAGGCUACUGCUGCCACCCGCACCCAGAUUCGGUUCCUGAUAAUUCUCUUUUUUCUAGCUCUCUCUUUGCAUUGCUUCUUAUACACGCGCUUUAAUUAUGCAUUAGAAAUUCAUUUGAAAUCACAAAGUAUUGCAUCAAGUAUGCUCCCGAAGGCUGCUCGGUUGUCGCUGUUGGAAAACCAGGUCUGCUUCACAAUUGACACUUUUUUGGAUUCUCUAACAUGUGAAGGUACGAGUAUUCUAAGGUGUGCUUCAAAAGUAUUCUAAUGUUCUGUCAACCUACAACAGGAAACCAAUCUUUGAGCUCGAGAUGGAACAACAAAAACGUCGAUGUGGAUAAGGCUCCAUCCCCUCUGCAGAAGCUUUUUGGGUCAAAUUCCAAGAUAGAGAAGAGGCUUUCAUCCUGUCAAAGUACCUGCGAGAAGAGCUCGCCUAGAGCUGUUCUAGAUGGACCUGAGGGAGAGAACCCUGCUCCAGAGGAGUGCUUUAGUCCCUCUAGCAAUGAGACUAGCGGUCGCAGCCGGUCCGGCAUUUGGAGGCGCCUUUCUAUUGCCAAGCUGUUCUUUCCUUUCUUUCGUUCUACAGAGCACUUAGCCGGAAAGGAGACUGAUGGGUGCUCGACCUACACUGAAGACCAGAAGCCUUCUUGGAGAUGCUUUAGCUAUGAAGAGAUUUCUAGUGCUACAAAUAACUUCCACCCCGGUAAGAAGUUUUCACCAACUUUUUGACAGCAUACAUAAUUUAUUUUUCUAUUAUCCUGCAUCACAUUCUUUUCCAGUCUUUUUUCUUACUAUUCAAAAUAUUUCUAAUUAACAGUGUUUUUUUAUUAAAGAAACACUUAUCCAGUUUGCUAUCCUUUUUUUUUCCGGAAAAAAAGAGAUCCACCUCCAUAUUUCAGUACAUUAAUCUAUGUUAAUAUAAUCCUACUCUGCUCAAUUGUGUAUAUUUUGGCACCGAUUUCAAUCUACAUCUCUUUGAAGUACAAGGGAAAAAAAUACAAGGUGGUUAAUUUGUUUGGAUGAUUCAUGGUGUUAUUCAUAUUUUGUGGAUUUUUUUUUUUGGAAAUCAGACAAUAUGGUCGGUAAAGGAGGAUAUGCGGAAGUAUUCAAAGGAAACCUCCAUGACGGCCAAGCUGUAGCAGUGAAGAGAUUGGCUAGAGGCAACACCAGUGAGCAAAAAGAGAAGGAAUUCCUUACAGAACUAGGCAUAAUUGGGCAUGUAUGCCAUCCAAACACAGCCUCCCUGAUAGGCUGCUGCAUUGAGAAUGGACUUCAUCUGAUCUUCGAUUUUGCUGCUAAUGGAAGCUUGGCAUCAGCUUUGCAUGGUGAGGAUUCACCCAUUUUCUCUUUUGUUUGCUCGUCGAAGUUGAGGUACAUGCAGAUUUUGUAACAUGCUUUCAGGUAAAAAUGGCAAGUUCCUCGCGUGGUCGGUGAGAUAUAAGAUAGCCAUGGGGAUUGCUAGAGGUCUGCACUACCUUCACAAAUGCUGCAGGCGGAGAAUCAUUCACCGUGAUAUAAAGGCUUCCAAUGUUCUCCUUGGGCCAGACUUUGAACCCCAGGUGAAGGAUUGAGUUCAGUCUGAUUUAGAAUUAGCAGGGUACCUGUGUAUAUAUGGAUUUCUUGGCUUGAUUGGGUAUUUCUUCUUACAGAUUUCAGAUUUUGGACUGGCAAAAUGGCUUCCAAAACAAUGGACUCAUCACUGUGUCAUCCCAAUAGAGGGCACUUUUGGGUAAAUAAUUGCUAGUCUUUGCAUUGAACAAGUUCAUGAGAUACAGAAUGGGAAAGCUCUGAUGACAGCCUCUAACGACUCACUGAAACAUCAAAGACAGCUCUUUCAAACAAACCUCAAACAAUGAGCAGUGACAUCACUAAAUCUUCAUCUAAAGCCUUCUCUAAGUCCAUUAGACUAUGAGCUUAGUUAAUGUAAUAAAGACUAGUAAUAAAGAUCUAUAGGACAUUCCUAAAUUGAAGCAUGCUUCUGAAACGUGAGCAGGUAUUUGGCGCCAGAGUACUUCAUGCAUGGGAUUGUUGAUGAGAAGAUUGAUGUUUUUGCCUUUGGGGUUCUGUUAUUGGAGAUUGUUACUGGCAGGAGGCCUGUGGAUUCAUCAAAGCAGAGCCUGCUCCUUUGGGUAAAUAAGCUAAAAAAAAAACACGCGUCCAGUCUUAAGUCAACUGAUUGCUCUCUUACUCAUAAAAUUUAGCAUUGUCCAGGCCAAGCCACUUAUAGACACUGGGAGAAUAGCUGAACUGGCUGACCCAAAGCUCGAAGGUAAAUAUGACCCGGAUCAGUUGCAGAAAUUAGUGCUCACUGCCUCCUGCUGUGUGAGACAGACAUCUAUCUGGCGUCCAUCCAUCAGUGAGGUAAAUCCCAAGCUUGUUGAAAAUUCUUAUUUAGAAAACAAAGCCCAAAAGAAGUGUGUUAAUGUCUUCUUGCUGUAUAAAAAUCCUCUCCCCUCCAGUGGUGAUAAAAUCCAUUUUUUCUUUUUUUUUGAUAUGAAGCGGUGAUAAAAUCUUGUUAGACUUACCAUUCAAUUAGAAUAAAACCAACUUGGUUCAACAUUAUUGGGACUGAUUUUUUUUUUUAAUGAUGAGAAAAUCAUCCUGUAUUAAUUGUAAUAUGAGAUUUUUUUCAACGAUAAUUUACUUCUUUUCAUCAUCUUAGGAGUUUAGAUUCCUUAACUAAUACAAAUUAGUAUUGAAGCUAUAAAUUCAGCAGAAAUUUAUGUGAAAACCUGAAAUAUUAGAUUAUUUGAGUAUAUGUUGUCUGUCUAAAAUAAACGGAAUAGCUGCUUAACAUUAUAAGAAUAUUAAACACAAACCAAGGGGCCUUGGACUGCUUUAUUCCUCGAAAUGCAUUCUUUUAAGACUUAUAAUAUGCAGAAGGUAUAAAAAUUCUUCUUCUUUGCAGACAGAUCGUUUUCAAGUAUAAAUAUAAAGAACUUAAUUUGAGUCUUGCAUUCAGGUAUUACAGCUCCUAACAGACUGCGAUGACUCCAAAGUAAUAGAAAGCUGGAGGAUGCCCGAAAGCCAGAUCGAUGAAAUGGAUGAUUGGAGUUUGGGUUCAGACUUCUGCUAUCCCUACUAGCCAUCUCUUCCACAAAAUAUUGGUAGGUCUAGAGUUUGUUUUCGUUUUUUGCACUGGUUUAGAAUAUGAUUGACUGAUAACUAUGAGAACCAUGAUGAAGUUAUUUGGUCUUUGUAAUUUAUUGUGAUAGGCAUGGAUGUCAAGGUUUUGAUUUCUCUCUGUUUCAAUGCCAUGUUAUAUGAUUUUGUGAUAAAAAAAGACUUGAAGAGAAUUGCAGAUACAUGUCCCAUUUUGGAGGUGGCUAAAAAUAUGUUUGAUCUCAGGUAAUUGAAACUAUAUAAGGAAUAAAUUUGGCACGAUCAAAGAAGCAAACCAAGACUCUCCAACUUUAUGUCGCAUUGUCUAAUCCAAAACAAUGAUAAGAGAAAUUGGUGCAACGACAGAAGCUGCAUUACAAACCUGAAAGUGCGGCAUGGAGAAAAGAUUGGAAAAGAAAAUAGGAGAUGGGCAGAAAGAAUACGCUGUAGCUUUUGAGGCUGAUAGAAUUUCAUCGAGCAUCACAAAUCACAGCCAUCACCCCCCUUACAUUUCAAAAUGCUUGAAAAUUCACCGCAACUAUCUCAAGAGAGGUUAACGCAUGAACAAUGGUGCCACCAAAAAAACCACGGAAAGGCUAUAUUAAACCAAGUAGUCAUACUCUUACGUAUUAGAAAGCUGGUGGUAAACCAACUCGGUGCGCAGUCCUAACCUUAAUAGUAAAAUCAGAUGCAUGCUAACACUCAACUAACUGCAUAGUCUCAGCCACUCUCGAUCCCAAUCUUGCAGCAUCCAUACCUACACUAAUCGCACCUUAAAUAGUUUCCAUGCUGUAAGAAU